rnacentral:lncRNA from 1 species
CACACUAUAAAGAUCUAUGCAUGGUCAUAAUGAUAGAAGUGGCUGAGUGUGGGGUAGAGGAGAUCAAACGUCCCAUUGCCUCUUUGGACUCUAUCAUGAGAUUUCCUAAAUUAAUGAAUAAUCCUAUGCUUGAAAAGCUUGAAGGGAAUCCUAAAAAGGUGAGUGUGAGAAAAGCUGCAGACUUUGAUUGUGAGCUCUUAAGAGGUCAAAAAAGAAGGAGAAGAUGGGCCCCAAUAAUGAAGAAAAGGAUAACAGAAUGUGGAUGAUAGUUGUGAUGUAAGUUGUGCCAUGAUAACAAAUCAGGCGCUGCUCGGGAGACAAUCCAAGUUAAGGUAGUUAUUUUAAUUUUUUAGUUUUUCUUUAGUAUCACCUUUAGUUUUGUUUUGGGUAAAAAUUAUGUGUGGGGUCCCGUAGACCUCCUUGAUAGAUAUGAUGCUACUAGCCAGACCUAGAGGUCUCAUGAAGUAUUUUUAUUCUUCAUUCUUUGAUUUAUACUUUGGGAACAAAGUAUGAUUUAAGUGUGGGGUGGAAAUCUUUCGAUUUAUUUAGGAUGAAGUUCGCUAUAGGUUUUUCAUUUUGAUUUAUUUGCAAGUUUCUGACUAAAUUCAAAAAUUUUAAAAAGAUCUUAUCUUUGUUUAUUUUCAGUUUUUGUUGGUUUAUCUGUUUAGUAGAAACAUACUUCUCCCAUCCCUUAAUUUUUCUUUUUGAUUCUUUUUUAAGGGGAGCCCUUCGAACCCAAUAUUCUUUUUUAUUUUUAAGAGUAAUUUUAAAUUUUUUAUCAUUUAGAAUAAAUAGAGAUGUUCUAGCUUGACACCACAAAUGAUUACUUGUUGCAAGUGGUGUUAAAUUCUAUGACAUGAUGUGAAAAAUUGAAUGGUUUCUGUGAGAAACCUAGACUCUUUUAUCUGGCUCUUGUGUUAUUUUGAUUUAAAUUUGGAUUCUUGUGAUUGCUUGAUUGAGAUUCAGCAAAGAUUCUUCUUGAGUUAAAUAUGUGCCAUGUGUGUUGAGGUUUUUGUUACAUUCCAUGUUUGCAAUUGAUGUCUACAACUUUUUUGGUUUGUUUGCAAAGAGAAAUAAAUAAUGUUGAGUUUGAAAGUGAUACAUGCAUUUUUUUGAUAGCCAUGUUUUUAUACCUACUUCAUCUAUCCUUUCUAAAUGAUCUUAGUUAGCUACGUUAAGCCUUUAUCCUAUUAUUUGAUAGCCUCAUAUGUAGCUUAUUCCUUUUUUUUCAGUUCACCUUAAUUUGAUCCAAAACUUCUAAGCACUUUAGUUGAAAAAUUAAUAUUGGUAAGGAGUGAGAAGUGAGGAGGAAGGAAAAACUGAAAAUGAAGCCCCUAAAUAAUAGAUAUAGGUGUAUAUAAAAAGUUUAUGUGUUGUUGGUGAAGAGUAAUAUAAUGAAAAUAACAGUUGAUUAAAAGUGUGCAUCUUGUACUGAUGGCAAAUACUCUCUACUAAAGAUGUGUAAGCUUGCUUAAAGAGAUGGAGAAAAAUAAAAAAGAGGUGGGAAGAUAAAAGUAGUGAAAUAUAUAUAUAUAUAUAUAUAUAUAUAUAUAUAUAUUAGAGAUGAGUUUAAUAUAAAGUGUGAUGUAUUAAAGCACUUAGGGAAGAUAGUUACUGGCCAUAAUAGUUCCUACUUAUUCCUUAAUCCGCAUUUCAACCCUUAAAGUCCUUCUUGAUCUUGAGUUUCGAUAUUCUGAUAUUAGUGGAGUACUAUACUAAGGGCAAGUUUAUGGUUAAUCUUAUGUGACAUGUGAAUUCUUUGUGAGAGUGAGUGAAAUUUGAUUGUUACACUCAUUCUUGUGAUAAAUUAUAUGAUUGUGAAUGGAUAUGAGUUACUCUCUCUUGUCGUGAGGGCACAAAUUUAAUAGUAGCUAGGUGACUUAUAUUAUCUUUUUUUGAGUGAUGUGCAUGAGUUUUCCAAGUUGUUUGAGUCAAUUCUUAAAGCUAUAAAGUCUUGAAGUAGUAUUCAUGUGCUUUAAUUGUAAUGUGGCAUGGCUAAUGUGAAACUUGAUAUUCAUGUAGUCGUUGUAGUUCUAGCUUGAGUGUCUUAGUUCAAGUAGUGAUAUGAGUUUUCUUUGGUUAUUCCUAGUUUAAAGUGUUGUUUGGAUGAACAAGGCUUUAAGUGUGGGGUGGUGAUCUUAGGCGUAUUUAUACACCUAAGUGUCGUUAUCUACACAUGUUUAGCUUAGUUUAGAGGGUAACCUGAUGAUGUUAAUGAAGCAUAAAGUCUUUAUUUGUGUGAUAAGUUACAUGUUUAGAGUGUUUAACGUGUAUUUACAAUAAUUCAACAGUCAAAAUGAUGAAAUAGAGUUUAGACAAGAGAGCUAGUUCGGCUAGCUUACGCUAUAUUUGUUCUAGUGUACUUUGAUGAGAUUUAUUGUAUUGUAUGAACUAAUAUUUGUUAUGUGAUGUUACAGUAAAUCAUUGUAGCAUCUAUAGAAGCUAAUGAAGCCCACAGACAAUCCAGAAUAAAGGGAAACAAGGAACAAAUAGACAAGAAGAAGAAAGCAAAGAUUGGUUGACACCUCUCCUUGUGGGGGCAACUAUGCGCCACACCCUCUAUAGCAUGGGAGGGGGCCUUGCGCCACACUCUCUAUUCUGAGAUCACAAUGGUUGGUACCUGUUAUGGUCCUUCACCUCACCUCCCUUGACUCUUUGAUGGCCAUGUGAUGUACCCUUCCCUUCUCUUUAAAACAAACUGUCUAAAAGUUAAUUUUUGCGUGGUUUAAGUUGAGCGCCAAGUAUUAAAUAUAUGUGAUUCAUCUGGGGCAGAUUAUGAAAGACAUAAGGGACUAUAUAAGGAGUACUUAGCUACAUUUACAAGAGAUCCUUACAACAACACAUAUUUGGAGAGAGGAGAAGGCUUCAAGAGCUCUACAUUAAGGUUUUUUUCCUUUUCCUUUUAGUUUUCUUGUAGUUUUACUUAUGAAUUCAUUAGUGACGAUUAUUUGUAUGAUUUGAGUGGAUAAACACUAUCUUUCUAGGGUUGAUACUACAAACAUGAUUGCUUAGCAUAACAUUACUGUUGGUUAAUGUUAAUUAUCGCAAUAGGCUGUUCUUAUGUUCUUGUAUUUACUAUACUAUUGAUUCACAAUCUUUAGAAUACAUAUAUAUUUCUUUUGUAAGCCCCGAAGGGGUAGCAUUAGAUUAGAACAUAUAACAUAAGAAGUGGGUUUUUAUCUUUCAGGUGAGUUAAAGACUAGAUUCACUAUUUGGAUAAGAACAUAUCUAAUUUGACUCGUUUAACUCAAAUACGAGAUAAACUAUAAAUGCGUUUGAAUUAGUCCCCGCAUUCUUUCUUUACGAUAUAGUUGUGAGGCUAAUUUAAAUAGAUGAGUAGAGGCUCAGAAGACCAUAAUUAUGAUAUUAAUUCUGUGAAUCAACAACCAAGAUAAUUAACUUAACCAAUGAGAUUGGGUAUCUUCGCAUGAAUGUUCAAAAUGCCUUAACCUUGAAACUCUCUGAAUUAUUAUUCACAAUACUUUUAAAUUCCUUUAUUGUUCAUUGUUAUUUUUAGAAUAAUAAAACUCAAACUCUUUUUGAUUACAAAUCACACUCAUUUAAUAUUGACAGUAAUACUUGAACUGGAUUGUUUUCUAAGCAUUAGUUUUUUUGUGAUUGAUAUUAGGCUCAAAAAGGCCACUUUACUUCUUACACAAACACGUGCACUUGCGUGUAUGAUUGGAUGCAACAAGUAUAGGCCUCAGAGUACUGCAAUAUAUUUCUCACACUCUUAUCCUUAAGAGGUGGUGGAGGUUCAGAACUCAACCAUGUUUGUAGGCUACAUAUCGUGAAGCAAAAUACUGUAAAUGAGCCCACCCUGUGGCCAAAGUCACAGACUCUAAAGACUACAAUUAAUGAAAAAGUUAGAUGAAAAUCAAGGUCAAGGCAGACACAAACAUUAUAUGAAAGAUUCAAGCCGAAAAUUCAUGUUUUGGUGGGAUAGUUGGACAGGUAAAGGUGCUCUUGCUAAUUUUGUCCCUGGACUAGGUAAGUCUGCUGAACUCCUGGUCAAUUCCUUUAUCAAAGAUAAUAUGUGGAAUUUUGACAAAUAUAAUGAUACUCUUCCUUAUUAUAUUGUUGAAGAUAUUAGAAAUAUUGAUUUUGGGAUACUAGAGAUCCUAAGUUCCCUAUUUGAAAAUCAACAGAAGAUGGUACUUUCUCUACGAAAUCUACUUGAUAGCUAAUUAGGGAACAAAAGCAGAGAAAUAACCUUCUCCAAAGUGUUUGGCAUGCUAGAAUCCCCUUCAAAGUCUCUUUCUUACUUGGUGGAUGAUUAAAAAGAAAUUUCAUUUUAAGGAUACAGUUAACAGGUGCGGCACUAAUUUCUUUGAUGAGCUCUCUUGUGACAGUCUACUACAAAGUAAGACAAUACAACAUAUUUUUAUUACCAGUGAAGGAGCUAGUAGGUUGUGGAGCAUUAUCGACAACACUCUGUGAAUUCAACACCAUCAAGAUUAGGGGUGGGCAUUCGGUUUGUUCGGUUUGAUUGUUGAAUAUUGGUUCGGUUUUUCGAUUUUCGGAUUGACGAAAAUGAAAAUCAUAACCAAACCAAAAUUAUUUCGGUUUGGUUCGGUUUUUACAAAUUCGGUUCGGUUAUUUUGGAUUUUUAUUUCGGUUUUAAAGAUUAAAGUAGUGAGCAUUUAAAAUUGGUGAUUUUUCUAAAAAAAUAAUCUUUUUUCAAACCUAUUUUUCAUUCCCAAAUAUAAUUAAUUCAACAUGCAUGAAAUAACCAUAAAUAUCGACCUUGCUGAGUCAUCGCAGUUGGCGUGACGGCAGUGGCCGCACUCGGCAGCGACUACCGACGGCAGUGACAAACUGAACAAAUGAACUGAGCAAAUGACUGUGGUUGGCGAUUUUGAAAUUUCAAAUGAAUUGACGAACUGAGGAUGGUUGAACGCUGCUGCAUCCUUCACGUUAAUGUUAGGGUCUAAAGCGAAGCAGUGUAUUAGGAUUUAGGGUUACUAAAUGAUUAUAAUUUAUAUAUUUAUAUGUUAUAUCAGAUUAUAUUAUAUUUUUAGUAUAUUUACAUAUAUAUUAAAUUUUAUAUAUAUAUAUAUAUAUAUAUAUAUAUAUAUAUAUAUAUUAUAAUAUAUUAUUUAUAUAAUUUCGGUUUUCGGUUUAUCCGAAUUCUUUUUAUAUAAAUUCAAAAACCAAACCGUUUAACCAAAUUUCUAAAAUUUGAAACCGAAACCAAUCCGAAAAACCAAACAAAAAUUAAAUUUCGAUUCGAUUUUUCGGUUUUUUCGGUCUAAACCAAAAUAUGCCCGGCCCUAAUCAAGAUGAACCUAUUAUCUCGGUGCUAAAUAGAUAGUGAACCAUUGUAUAUCAAAACAAUAUUCAAGAGAUGAUUUUGAAGAAUUCCCCUAUCUUUAUAUGCUAGGAAAUUUGAAAACAAAGAUGCUCGUGUAAAUAUGAGGGUCAAAGAACUUUUCACUAUACAAGAAUGGAGCACCAAAGUGUCAGGAAUAUUAAGUUUUCUUUGUCCAAGUUGUAUGGCCAACUAAAGCACAAAUUGAAGUGGACUGAUCUUUGUGAACUGACCUAAAAGCUUCAGCAGUGAAAAUAACUAAGCAGGUACAACGGCAACUAUCCCAAAGUGAUAACGCCAAGGUAAAUACUGAUGGAUACUUUAAUUUUGAAAUAAAAUGAGCUGGCAUUGGGGGCAUAAUCAAAGAUAUAAAUGGUGGCCUCAUAAUGGCCUUUUUUAUCCCCAUACAAUACGACAGUAAUAACAUGGCAGAAGUACUUGCGGUGGAGUUUGGAAGAAAAUGGGGUAUCCAACACGGCUAUACUAAUUUCUCGCUUGAACUGGACUCGUUGUUAAUUGUCAAUAUGUUAAUCAAGAAGAAGACCAACAAUCGUAAGAUUUAGUAAGUCAUUCAAAUAAUUGUUAAGAUGAUGGAACAAAGAAAUGUGCAUAUCACUCACAUAUUUAGAGAAAAAAAUCAAGUCGCAAAUUGAUUGGCUAAGUGAGUGUCUACUUCUGGUCAAUCUGAGAUUUUCUACAAUUUUCAGCAGCUUCCUAGAAGUGCAAAAGUUCCAUUUCAACUAGAUAAAUGACAAAUAACAAGUCUUAGGACUAGGUAAGAUGAAGUCAAUUUUUUUGUACGUUGAUUGUACAUAUUUUUUGUUCAGAAGGUGUAGUGUAAGUUUUUGUUAUGUGCCUCCAUCUAUUGUUUGAGGUGUUUGCAUCACCUUUGAGUUGUAAUUGAGGUAUGGUCUAGCCCUCUUUUUUUUUUUUUUCAAAUAAUACAACACAAUUUAAGCUUCAUUGGGUAACUGGAUUACAAAAAAACUACUAAAGUGGGGAGAAUUUUUGUUUUAUAAACAAAUAGGUUAUUGAUGAACUUUCUAGGUCAUUUUUGUUCCUUUUCCUUUUCUCCUUAUAUAGCUCUUCUUUUUUUCUCAGUUUUUUUUUGAGAAGUUGGGGUCUUAAUAGUAAAAGAAAUAUUUAUUUGUAUAUGAAUUGCUUAAUCAUAGUUAUGUGGUAUAUGCAAGCAGGUGAAAGAUACAUGUCUUGCAUUUAUUGAUUUUUUAAAAUAUUUAAUGUGAAUAAAUUUACUUAUACUAUUUCAAUCUUGAUAACAUCUGGUGGAAAAUAAAUUAGUCCAUAAAAAUAUGAUCCAUCCGAUCCAUUCGAAUUUAAGUGAGUUACUACUCUUCCAUUCAUUAAUUCAGAGACAAUUUUGCCACAUGAAAAUUUUUUAUAAAAUAUUUUUGAAAAAACUUUUUAUUAAAAUUUGAUAUAUAGCUAGUAAAAUUUUUUUGUCAUGUAAUUAAAUAAAGCAGGAAAUUAAAACUUGAUAAACUAUUGUUGGGUCGAUUGAGUUAUAGAUCCGUUAAUUUAUUAACUCAAUCUAUUUUGACUCAUUCAAAUUUAAUCGGAUCUGGUCUUAUCAUUUUUAAGUCUUUGGACUUGUGAAAAUAUGAGUAUUCAGUGACUUAAAGUCUUGAAUUUAUCCAUAUUGAAGCCCGACUAAUUUAGAUUCGUGUCUCUCACUAUGAGGGUUAAAGUACUCCCUUUCAAGGGUGAAUCUAUAUUAAGACCUUUGAUUAAGGAUGGAGGAGUACUUACCUUCCACCACUCUUUGAUGAUGUUAUGACAUGUUUUAAAACACGUGUCUCUCUCUGUCACUCCUUUUUCUUAUGCAUAACAAGAACCCUUUCAAAAAGAGUGGGAUCAUCUCUUUUUACUUCACGCCCACCCUUACUAUUACAAUUACUCUUAGUUAAUUAAAAAAAUUAGGACAACAUAAAUCCUCGUAAUUCAAUUGGUUGGUUAUAUGAAUUUUUACUUCUAUACAUUUUCUUCAUUUUGUUUUAUGUGGUACCGUUUGACUUUGCAUGAUAUUUAAGAAAUAAAUGAAUACUUUUGAAACUUGUUAGGUUUUUAAGAGGUGUGAAUGUAAAAUGAAUAGAUUAUUUUUCGAAAAGAAUACAAAAGAAGGAAUGCAAUUUAAAUAGACACCUUCUCAGUUGAAUGGUUAUGACCUUUUCAAUAUGUUAUGACUUUUUCGAAGAGUUGCUUCUUUUCUGAAGAGUUACACCUUUUUUUAUAAAUUCAUUUGCAGAUAAAACUAUAAUUUGUAAUCUAUGGAUUCUUACUCUAUUUGAACUUGAUAGUGAUUUGAAGAUGAAACUUCAUCACGAGUCAAAUUUCAUUCGAUUGAUGAUUUGAAAGAAUAAAAUUUUUAUCGUUGACUAGAAAUAAGUUGUUUAAAAAUUAAUUCCUUAUAAUUAGUAUUCAAAAAUACUAAAGUAUUUGUCAAAGCUUGAAAAGAAAAUGACAAAUGAGACUGAAUAUAAAGUUGAUUCAGUUAUGAAUGGUGUUGUCCCAAUGACAACCAAUAUUGCAGCAUCAAGAUAUUUAGAUGUUGUUCUAGCUUGGCAACGACAGACAAAUUAAAAUUUUUUUUGGGUGUGAACUUUAAAUAAUGAAAGCAAAUAAUGCUCUUUUGGCUGACCAAACUUGAAUUGUAAAGGUUCACAUGUAGAGAUCCUUAUAUUCUUGAAAAAAAAAUGUUUGAAAACCAAUUGUCUGAUUUAAAAGAUCUUGUGAUUCGUCUCUAGAUAGAAGAGGACAAUAAAUUGUGUGAGAAGUCAACAAUAAUGGGUGUAAAACUUGUUAAAGAUAAUGCUACACAUAAUAAAAAGAGGAAAAAGUCUUUUAGACAAAAGAAAGAGAAGAAUAAGAAAAGGUUCAAAGGCAAGUGCUACAAUUGCAGUGAAAUUGGCUCCAAAGUUCUAAAUUAUCAAGUUUUGAAGAAUAACAAGAAAAGAGAUCAGAUAAAUAUGUUGGAAACAACUAUAAUGAUAAAAAAAUUAUGUGUUAUGAUCACUGAAAGCAAUCUAGUUGGAAAUCUAAAUGAAUAGUGAUUUGAUUCUGGAGCCACUAAACAUGUUUGUCCAAACAAAGAAACUUUUUCUACUUAUAAUACUCUUGGUCCAUAAGAAUAAUAUUAAUGAGAAAUAUGCAACAACCAAGAUUGAAGGAAGCAGAAAGAUAUUCUAAAAAUGAUUUUCGGCAACUCUCAACAAUAUUCUUCAUGUUUUUACUUUUAAGAAGAACUUAAUAUCCACAACACUUAUCGUUAAAAAUAGGUUUAAGUAUGUGUUUAUUUUAGAGAAAGUUGUAAUAAGUAAGAAAAAUGUAUGUAGGAAAGGACUAACUCAAUGAGGGCCUUUUCAAACUUGAUGUAAUGAAUGUUGAAAUAAAGAAAGCUGAGGCUUCUUCUUACUUUCUCGAAUCAAAUAAUUUAUGACAUGAACAUUUAUGACAUGUCAAUUAUAAAAUUUUGUAAAAAUUAAUUAGUUUGGAAGUGUUUUCUAACUUUGAGUACAAUAAAUCUAAGUGUCAAACGUGUGUUGAAUCAAAGUAUUCCAAGCAAUUGUAUAAGUCUGUUGAAAAGAAAUUCCAAUUCCUUAGACUUAAUUCACACAAAGAUUUGUGAUAUGAAGUCAACACCAUCUUGUGGUGGAAAAAAGUUUUUAAUAAUCUUUAUUGACGAUUGCACGAGUUAUUAUUAUGUUUAUUUGCUGAAUAGUAAGGAUGAAACGAUAGAAGCAUUUAGGCAAUAUAAAAUUGAAGUUGAAAAUCAAUUGGACAAGAAGAUUAAAAUAAUAAAAAGUGACAGCAAUGGAGAGUAUGAAUCUCCUUUUGUAGAGAUAUAUUUGAAAAAUAGAAUUGUUCAUCAAACUAUUAUCCCGUCCGUAUUCACCUCAAUCUAAUGAAAUUGCAGAAAAAAUUAAAUGUUGAAGAAAAAAAUAAAUGACUUACUUAUAAGUUUAGGUUUACCACAAAACUUGUGAGAGGAAGUUAUCUAUACAGGUAGUCGAAUACUCAAUGGAGUACCUCAUAGAAAAAUACAAUCUAUUCCAUAUGAAAAAUAAAAAGAAAGAAAAUUCAACUAUAAAUUUUUGAAAGUGUGGGAGUGUUUAGUGAAAGUCCAAGUUUUUAUAUCCAAAAGUGUGAAGAUGAAACCAAAGACUAAGAACUGUAUUUUCAUUGAUAGACCACAAGUAGUAAAGCAUGUUGAUUUUUGAUUCAUAAAUUUGAAUGUCUAAAUAUUCAUAAUAAUAUGGUAAUUGAAUCAGAUAAUGCUGAGUUCGUUGAACACAUUUAUCUAUAUAAGAUUAGAUAUGAGUUGUAUCGUAGAGGGUCUAAAUGACCUAGUGAUUAACCAAAGAAGAAUGUACUUAAUAAAGAAAAAUUUAGGCGUAGUAAGCGACAAAUAAUGCCGACUUUCUUUGGAUCAAAUUUUGUAACUUUUCUUCUUGAAAAUAAGCCUCAAAUAUUUAAAAAAACAAUGCUGUCUGCGGACUCAUUCCUUAGGAAAGAGACAAUCAAUAGUGAUAUUUUAUUCUAUCUUGAGCAACCAUACUUAGGAGUUGAUUGAUCUCUCUUUAGGAAAUGAACCUUUAGGUUCUAAAUAGAUUUUCAAAAGGAAAAUGAAAGUUGAUGGUACUAUUAACAAAUACAAGGUAAGACUUAUUGUGAGAGGCUUGAGACAAAAUGUAGGCUGCUAUGUGUAGUUUUGAUGAUGAGCAUCUAACAGCAAAAGAUCGGGUACCUGGAUGUGCAAGAUACAGUACAACUGCUGUCUACAUAGUUUUGUCAUCUUAUGUAACAAAUUUGCAGGUGCUAUUUUGUACUAAUUAGGACAACUGGUUCAAUGAUCUUUUAGCCCUAAUCAUCACUCAACUGUAAAAGGAAAGAGACGUCUCUUCAUCAAUCGGUUUUUACAAAUUCUAAAAAGUUAAGAGAGGCAGCAUUAACCUAUUUUCAAUACUUCUCAAAUUCUCAGCUUUAUGGGUACUUAAAUCAAAAUUGUUCUUGAGUGAGUAAUGAUUUGUAGCUGGACUACUCAUCUAAUAAGAGUAGUGUUUCCUUUUGUUGAGAGAGUUGCUUUGAUAGAGUUGCCUAAGCCAAUUACUGAUUAGAUUUAAUUAGUAGAGAGGGUCCUUGGUAGAGUUUCCAAGAUUAGAUUGUAGUAGAGCUGUUACAAGCGAAAGGAGCCUAGAGGUAGGCUGAAAUGUAGACUGUAAUCAAGAGGUUGAUUGUAGCGGGUUUAUUUGGUUCUUGUGAGGGAAAUUCAUGUUUUUUGUACCUUUCUAGGUUUCCAUAUAAAAAUCUUAUAUUUUUUUCCUUCCUAUAUUGUGUCUUAUUCCCUAGUUAGUUUCAUCCAUUUUGCCUGUGAUUGAUCUUGAAGGACCUGGUCCUUUACUGUGUAGUACAACCCUUAGGGUUUCAACAAUAGGUAUUAGAUCUUGGUCAUUCUAAAAGGUUCACACCUAGAGUGUCUUUGUUAGCAUGACUGCUUCACCUAAUCUAGAAGAAGGACAAUCUACUACUAGACCGUCCAGAUUCAACGGGUAGUAUUAUGGGUGGUGAAAAACUAGGAUGUUUGACUUUAUUAUGGAUGAGGAUUUUGAGCUAAUGGAAAUUAUUUUUGAUGGUCCUCAUGUUCCCAUAAGAGAAGUCAAAGAAGAAGAUAUUACGAGAAUGGUUGUUAAAAAAAGGGAAUUCAAUGAUGAAAAUAGAAAAAAUUAAAAAUAACUAUAAGGCCAAGAAAUUGGUGGUUUGUGGUAUAGGGCCUGAUGAGUAUAACAGGAUUUUUACCUAUGAAAAUGCAAAAGAGAUCUAAGAUUGGUUAAGGACUGAUCAUGAAGGUUCCACUGAUGUGAAGGAUUCAAAAGUUGACAUACUGACUAUUUAGUAUGAAACCUUCACCAUGAAAGAAGCAGAAACCAUCCAAGAAAUACAUACAAGGUUUACUUCCAUCACAAAUGAGCUUCAUUGCUUAGGUGAAGUGAUUCCCUUGUACAAACAAGUGAGAAAAAUUCUUGUUGUUCUUCCUAAGUCCUGGGAAAGCAAAGUGGAUGCUAUAACUAAGGAAAUAAACCCAAAGACCCUCACCAUGGAUAAAUUGAUUGGAAAUAUAAAGACUCAUGAACUUAAGAAGCAGCAAGGUAUGGAGAAUAAUGAUGCAAAACAGGAAAAAUCCUUGGCAUUAAAAGCUUCCAAAUUGGAUUCAGCAGAAGAAGACACUGAUGUUACCUACAUGGCAAGUAGGAUUGUUAGAGGCAUAAAGAUGAGUGGUCAGUUCUAAGGAAGAACAAAUAUCAAUAAAAAGGGGAAGCAGUGCUGAGGUAUGUCAUAAAUGUGGAAGUUCUGAGCAUUUCAUUAAGGACCAUCUAUUACAUAAGGUGGAUUACUAGGGGUACCUCAAGACUGCAGGUGACAAAGGAAAGAAUAGGGACCAGGUCCCUGAAGAUUCAAGAAGGAAGGCUGUAGCUGAUUAUGAAGUAAAGCAAACUUUAAUAGCAUGGGGAGAUUUCUCCAGUGAAUCAGAUGGAUAUGAAAAGACUGGAGAUGUUUUUAUGCUAUCAGUAGAAUAAGGUCUAGUUAUCUACGAUUCCACUCAGGGCAGACACAGAAGAUGAAAAAGAAAAAAAGGUAACUCUAUUUGAUAUUACGGAGAAUCUAGAUAAUUACACUUUUAGGAAAAUAAAAAGGCUUGCAAGUGUGUUGAUAGACUCUGUGUGUUAACUAAAUUCUGAGAAGAAUACCUUAGAAGAAAAAUUAGAGAAUCAAGAGCAUGAGCUGAUUGCUUUAACUCUUAAAAUUUCUAAAAUUAAAGAGUUGUUCACAAAUAGAAAAUCUCAAAAUAUGAGUCUAAUAAGUAAUCUAAGGAAAGUAAAUGGUGUAGAUGACAAAGGGAAGAAGGAAGCCCCAAGGCUUCAAAUUGAUCUUGAGGAGAAACUAAAAGUUUCACAAAUACACAUUAUGUUAGCACUUCACAGGAUUGAAGAAUUAGAAAGGGACCUGAUCCACUUUAAAGAAGAGUUGAACAAGUCUCUUAAGUGGACUAUUUACUCUAUGAUCCUUUAUGACUUGACUAGUCAAGGUGUUAAUGAUGGUAGAGGUUUGGCCUAUUAAAGAAAAUUCUAGCCUGUUGAGUUUAAAGUAAAGGCUGGUCAUGAUGGCAGAAGCAAAGGGCACAAACUCUUGUGCACUCACUGUGGAAGAGAUGGACAUUUGAAAGAAAGAUGUCAGCAUAGGGUUAAGGCAAAAUUAAGAAAUAUUGAAUACAUUCAGUAGGAGAAUGCACAUUUAAAGGGCUUUGAGUCUCUGAAAAAGGUGAAUAGAAAGUUAUCACUGCCUAGAUGGGCUAAGAAGAAUAUGAUCAUACUAUUAUUCUCCUACUAGGAACUCAAACUUAAGUGGGUUCCCAAAUCUCACUUGUGAUCAUGAUUACAGGCAUGGGAAAGGGAUUACCGUUAGGAGUAGCUCUUUAAUUGAAAGGGUUCAAAGACCAAUGAUGGAAGGUCUGACUGUCUUCUAUCUCUCAGGACACUUUAAGUGAAGGUAUCUUAUUGUGAAAGUUGAUAUUAAGGACCUAGUCCUUGGCUUAUGAAAGAUGAUAUUUAAAAAGGGUGUGUGUGUGAAGCUUAGGUUAAAAAGGAAAAGCCCUAGAAUGACCGUUAGAUUUGACUAAUGAAGAUGCUUUAGAGAAUAAAUUGAAAAGGAAUUUUGUGGAUUAAUGAAGGGAAUGCAUGUAGUUCCUGAUUAGUCAGAAAAAUUCUUGAUCCUUGGUGGUGCUAAAAAUGAUGAGUGAAAGAAUGGAAGAUGGAAUUAAGUCUUGAUUCCCAGGGACAUAGUCCCUAGGAAAUUUAUCUUAGAAGAAGAAGUUUCAAUAGUGUGAACAAUGUCAAGUCUAGGAUAUGAUCUUCAGACAUACAUGAGGAACAAACUGUGGAAUAAGAAGGGUGUGCAAAGGCAAAAGGUUAAAGUAGGAUUGAUCUUAUCAACCUGACCUAUCUUGUGAUUUAGUGUUUCCUCUCAAAAUUUUCUAUGCUUAGGAGACAGGUAUCCAUGAUAAGGUUGGUAAAUUUUGGUAUAAAUCAGUACUAUACCUUUGUAGGUCUACAUCCAUGGGGUCAACUUUAGGAGAAAAUAAUUAAAGCAAUCACAAGUUAAGAAUUUACUCAAAAAGGAGAGAGUCCUGGUCCUAUCUCUCAAGUUUGUACCAAAAUAAUGUUCCUUAGAAAUUCAUAAAAUUUCUAUUUAAAAAGGUCAUAUUUUCUCUCCUAUCAGAACAAAAGCCAUCAGUCCACGACAAAUGUAAAGAGUCAUAAAAUGCCUUACCCAUUAGCCUUUCUUCUGAAAUUCCUAAAAUCCUUAAUGAAACUAUUCCAGUUGAACCUCUAAAAAUCUUACUGAUAUAGCUUUGGAUGUUCGUUUAAAUGAAGAAUCUGACUCAUAAAUUGAACAAGAAACUUCUCAAUCAGAAAACCCCCCUUCCUCAGACAAAUAAAAUCCUCUAAUACUCCUUAAAUCAUUAGUCCUUCUAUCCCCUCUAUGUCAAAGCCCAUAUUCUCCCAACCGGUUGAUGAAGAAAUUUCUGUAAAGAAGUAUGAUCCAUUCAGCAACAUAAAUUAGGUAGCUGGAAAUUAUUUUUACUUGGACAUGAUUUCAAGGGAAGUUCUAUAAGUGGGGUAGAGCAAAUAGCAGGAGAAAAUGAUGAUUUUGAAAAGAAAUAGGGAGUUUAUGAUUCAAAAUAUGGCAGUCCUGGUGUAAGUAAGAAGAAACACACAGAUGUAAAAAGAAAAAAGUCUCUGAGGGACCUGGUCCAAGGAAGGGAAAAACUGUGGUUGAAUAAUUAGUAGUAGUCCCAAGAGAAGCAGAAAUGCAGAGCUCAAAAUGAAAGUUGUAGAGUUGACUGGUAAAAUUCAAGGACUUAUUGCUGAAGGAAGGUCCUCACCAAAAAGUUGGAUGCCCAUGUUGCUGAGAGUGCAAGAAUGGAGAUGAUAAUUAAAUCCCUUUCCCCUAAGCCCCCAUCUACCUAAACCCUGUUACCCCCUUUCCCUCAUUAAUCCCAUGUCAGUUUUAUGUUUUAUUCUCUUGUGGUUUUUAAAAUAUAAUUAUUUGUUGAUUUUUUUGGUAUAUGUUAUUGGUACUUAACUGCUUAAAAAUGAAUGAAUUCUAAUUUUCGUGAUUGACAUGUUCUUACUUUUAAAUUCUUUUUUAUAUGUUAGUGUUGCCCCAAUGGCCAUGAGUUAACUAAUCUGUGCCUAUUUUACUCUUGGUUUACUGUUAAUCCUUUUCAAUGAUGCCGAAAGGGCGAAUACUGACUUUAUAUGAAAGGAUUAGGUUACCAAUUACCAGGUGUGUGUUCUUAUAUGGUGAAUGCUGAUAGGGGAAAGUAAUUGAUGUGCUAAGGUAGAAGAUAAGGCACGGUGAUAGAAGGAAGUGUGUAAAUACACUAAAUGAAGAAGUGAUGUGCUAAGGUGGAAGAUAAGACACAAUGAUAUCAUCAAGUGUGCAAAUGUACUAAAUAAAGGUGCAUGAUGAUAUAGGGAAAAAGUCAGAGAUUUUUUCUGCAAAUGCUAAUAAGGGACCAAAUCCCUCUGUUACACGAUGGAGAAAGCAUGAUAAUAGGGGAAACAUUCAUCUUCUGGUGGUAAUCACUCUGAUUAAUAUGAUGAAUGUAUGCUAUGCUCAAAUUGUAUGGUUUGGUUUGUCAUUAUUAAAAAGGGGGAAAAUUGCUAUAUGUAGUUUUGAUGAUGAGCAGCUAACUGCAAGGGACUAGGUCCCUGGAUGUGAAAGAUACAGUACAACUGGCAUACAUUAUCUGCACAAAUUUGUCAUCUUGUGUAAAAAACUUGCAGAUGCUAUUUUGUAAUGAUUAGGACAACUGGUCCAAUAAUCUUUCAACCCUUAUCAUCGCUUAGCUAUAAAAGAAAAGAGAAACCUCUUCAUGAAUCAAUUUUUGCAAAUUCUAAAGAGUGAAGAGAAGCAGUAUAAACCUAUUUUCAACAUGCUUAAGUUCCCAUAUUUUGUGAGUGCUUAAAUUGAAAUUGUUCUUGAGUGAGUAAUGAUUUGUAACUGAACUACUCAUAUUAUAAAAGUAGUAUUUUCUUUUGUUGAAAGAGUUGCUUAGGUAGAGUUGCCUAAGCCAGUUACUGAUUAGAGUUAAUUAGUAGAGAGGGUCCAUGGUAGAUUUACCAAGAUGAGGGUAUCAUUUGAUGAUGAUUGAACUCACAUUGGUUCAAAGAUAAUUGAAGGAGUCAAGGGAAUGUAAAAUAGGGCUAGAAAGACCCUUGGGAGGGACAUGCAGCAAAGGUUCUUUGGAUCUAUCUUUGAUCUACUCUCUUAUUUUAAGAACAGGUCAAAACAGUCUUUAGUUCUCAUGGGAUGCGCCCCCACUACUUCAAAUUUUCUCAAGAAAAUUAGAUGGGUCUUUUCUUGCAAUUAGGUCACUUUUGGGCCCCUAAACGUGUGAUAAUUAGCCCUAAACAAUAAAUACUUGAGAGCCUAGGUUAUUUUCUUUGUUUUGCUUAUUUAUUCAUAAAUGUUUCUCCAUCAAGUGACAGAAUUAGUAAGCUUUUAUUGAAACUUGGAUUAGAAAUGUUGGUUUUGAGGGCGAUCAUAUCUCUCUUAAUCACCAUAAGAAUUGGGUGUUUCAUUAAGGUUAUAAUUGAGGUUAUUAGAGUUUAAUAUACUCUUUUAUUCUUAAUUACUUUUUUCUUCUUGUGUCUAAGUUCUAUCUUUAUGUAUUAUUUUUACUUUUUGUAUCAAUCUUUGAUUUUUAGAGUUUGAUGUUCAUCAGAUGGUUCAUGAACAACAUAAAAGUACUAGGAGCGUUGGUGAGGCAAAAAGGUAUGACCAACCAUUCAUAUAGAUCAAAUUUGGUCUUGAAUGCGCUCUUUCACACAUCACCCAAUUGGCCAAAUUUGGUGUUACCUACUCCUACGAUCUAUCUUAGUAAACACACAAAAACCAUUAAAAUUAUCAAGCGUAUAAUUCAAAUGGGGAAUUGGGUGGUGAUAAUUUAUUGUUAUGUUAUUAGUGACUCGGUAAUCAACACACAUGUGCCAUGUUUUAUCUUUCUUUGGCAUUAGCAACACCGAGACCACACAUGGACGCAUGCUCUAUUUGACGUAUCCUUUGUUGAGGAGUUCCCUAACUUUACUUUGGAGCUCCAUUGUGUCCAUUGGAUUACUUUGAUAGGCUGAUUUGUUAGGUAAUUGAGAACCAAACACAAAAUCAAUUUGAUGUUCAAUUCCUUGAAGUGGGGGUAAUCCUUGGGCUAGCUCCUUUGGGAAUACAUUAUUAAAUUCCUACAAAACAAAAGAAAUUGAAUUGUGAAUAGGAGAAGUAGAGUGGUUAGUAGUAAAAUCAUGGGUUAAGAGGAGCAUGGGUGUCUAUUAUUGUGCUCCCUAGAAAGAUCUUUGUUCUUAGCCAACAUCACCAAGGGAUUCUUCCUUUUUAACCUCACAUCCUCUUAUUCUUUAUUAUUAUCCUUGGUUUGUUCAUCUUUCCUACCUUGUUUCUUACCUUUCUCCUUUAAUUUUCUCAAAUUUUGGUGAGCGUCAUUCACUUAAGUGGGUGAGCGUGGAUGGAGAGUAAAUUUCUGACCAUUCAACUCAAAAGAAUACCAAUUGGUCCAUCUAUUAUGCUUGGUUGAAUGAUAUAUUGCCAGGUCCUCCCAAGGAAGAGAUGAUAAGCUUGCAUGGGUAUCACAUUACAAUGUAUCUCAUCAUAAUAAUUCUUGACUUUGAACCGAAUCACCACUUUCCUAGUCACCUUCAACUUUCCACAAGCAUUUAACUAUUGAAGCUUGUAGGGUGUGGCAUGUUUAGUUCUAUGCAACAUUAAGAAUUCAACCAUGGUAGAAUUAGCUACAUUAGCACAACUCCCACUAUUAAUGAUCAUAGAGCACACAUUGUGUUUAAUAAGGCAUUUAGACUGCAUUUGUUUUUUUUUAAGAUUUAGACAUCUGAAUCUGAAUGCACAUCUGAAUGAUUAAGAUGUUGUCUCUAGAUCUGAAAAUUGAAUGAUUAAGACUAUUUAUUUUUCAACAUCUGAAUAUGUAACAAAAAAAAUUAUUUGUAUAUAUAAUAUAAUAAAAAAUAACAAUUCAAGAAAAAAAUAAUUAUAUGUUAGAAAAGUAUGUAAUUUAUAUAAUACAAUAAAAUUAUUACUUGAUUGAAAGAAAUAUUUAUGUUUGUUAGUGAUAGUAGAGAUGGUUUAUAAUGGUUAUUGCGGUGACAAUGAUUGAUGUUACUGACCAGUAAUGUUGGUAGUGAUAGUUGUGAUGGUUGAUAUUGUAGUAACUGUUAUGAUAGCGAUGGUUGAUAUUGGUGGUGGUAGUUGUGAUAUGAUGUUGCUUGAUGUUAGCAGUUGGAGUUGUUGAUUGUGAUGGCUGAAAAAUGAAAGCAUGAUGAUUGACAAUGUGUUGGUGCUAGUUGGAGAUGUUGUUAGUUGUGAUGGUGGAGAUGGUUGUUAGUAGAGAUAAAUCCUAGCAAUGGUAGUGGUUGAGGUGAUGGUAGAGGUGGCAUUACUAGUUUUAAUGGUGGUGGCAGUCGAAGAAUGUAUGGAGAUUGUGAUGUAUUAGUGGCAGUUAACAGUGAUGCUAGUUGUUAAAGAUGAGUUGGUCGAUAGUAGGAAUUGACCGGUAGUGGUUAAUUAUGGUAGUGCUGUUGAUGGUGAAUAUAAUAAAAAAUAAUAGAGAUAGUAGGUGUGGUAAUGAUUGAAAAUAGUGGUUGAUAGAGAUAUUUGUUAUCGAUGGUGGUUAUGAUGGUAGAGGUAGUUGGUGUGGUGGAUGGUGGUUGACCAUGGUGGCGGUGACAGAGGUACUUAGUGGUGGUGACUGAUGAUUAUGAAUAGAGUGACGGUGAAUAUUAUCCAACACCGGACUACCUCUUCAGACAUAUUAAGACUUGAUUCUAGAUCUGAAUGAUUAAGACCUAUUCAGACCUAUUAAGAGCUAAAAUCUUAAUAAAAAACAAAUUCACUUAAUGGUCUAAAGUCUGAACCAUUCAGAUUUAGACCUCCAUUAAGUGCAAACAAAUGAUCCCUUAGUAUGGUAUAGAUUUUUUCCCUUUGACUAGGAUCAUAUAUUGCCUUACUAAUUAUUGUACGCCUCACAAUAAAGUUAGGAACCUCAAAAUCUCUAUCUUGAGGCUAAGGAUCUUUAUUAUCUUCCCCUUCUUGCUCACCUUCUUCGGAUCCCUCUCCUUCUUGGGCUUUUUUAUCAUUCUCAUAUUCCAAUACCUCCUCUUUUCUAAGGUAGUACAACUUUCUUUCUCUAAGGAUCACAUUUCUUCGAUUAGGAAAUUCACUUGCUUUAUGUCCCCACCCCUGUCAUUUAAAGCAUUGAAAACCAUUAGGAUUGAGAUAGGAUAUUUGUUACCUGGAUUCUUUGGCGAGUACUUUGGAGUGGUCUUCUAUAUAGGCUUCUUGUCAUAGAGUUGUAGUCCUUGUUCUUGUUACAUAUCGAUGAUGAUUGAGCUACCUUUUUAUUCUUACUCUAAGUGUUGGUAGAUGAGUAUCCCUUUGGUUUGUAAGUUUCCCUCUCUUUGAAUCUCUUUCAAUUUCCAAGGCCGCUUGGAAGAUUUCUUCUAUGGUUUCAAACUUGUGGAUAGUCAUACAUAAGGAUAUUUCUCUGUUCAACCCAACCUUAAAGCAUGUGAUGUCAUGGUUCAUGUUCUCAUGAUACUCGAGCUUCAAGAUCAAUUGUUGGAAUUCAUCAUAAUAGGCCAAGAAAUUCUUUCUUAUUUGCCUCAAGUUGUAUAACUUGGCAAGUAACUCAUGUCUACUCGUAGACACAUACCUUUGUCUCAUGAGUCCCUUCAAUGCAUUCUAUGGGGUGGUUGUCAAUCAUUUAACGAUUUCUAAAUCUCUUGGCAUAAUCCCACAACGUAUUGGCAUAACUUUCAAUGUGGGCUAUGAUAUAGCAAUUCUUCUUCUUAUCGGUGAUAUCAUUGACUUGAAAGGUCCUUGCAUAAGAAGAUUCCCAUAUGAGUUAAGAUUUGGGGUUACUCUUGCCUUUGAAAGUCAAAAUACUAACCUUAAUUAAAUUGAUACCCAUAUCUCAAUCCCUAUUUCCUUGUUGGUUUCCUGGAUCAUAACUUUGGGGUCGGUUUCCCAACUUUUCUCUUUCAUUACCACUAUGUUGGUUUCAUUGAUCAUGGCCUUGGGGUUGGUUUACCAAGUUUCCUCUAUCAUUAGGAACCUGGCCAAAUCUUUUUCCUUGACCUUGAUAACCUCUUCAAUCCAUUAGUUUAUCUCUCAUUUCACCUACCAACAUAUCGUCUUCAUCGAAUGCUCCAAACGCUUUUUAUUGUUCUUCCAUCUUUUCCUCUUCUAAUUGCAUGGGUUGGUUUUCAUUAAAAAGUACUUGGAAUGGGGGAAUUUAGUUUAGUGGAGGUUGGGGUUGUAACGCCUCAAUUUUCUGAAUCGAAAUGCUACACGGUACUCAGACCUCUAAGGACCACAAGCUAACCUAUGACUAAUAGCUGGACCUCUACACUGCAUAAUAUAUGUAUAUAAAUAUGGAAACAUGAACUGAAAGGCCAUAAAGUUCAAUAAUAAACAUAAUCUGAAUAAUAACAAUGUCUGAAUAAAGUGGUAUCACAAUACCAAAACAAAACCAAAAUACUGAAGUCUGAAUCUAGCCUGUAAUCUAGUCUGGAAGCCUCUACCUGUCUGAAGUGGGGAGUGGAAGGAACAUGUCUCCAACUAACUCCCAACUACUGAAAGACAAACUGAAAUACUGAAGUAAUAAAGUAGUAAUUAUGUCCUCGAAGAAUGAGAACUCAAUGCUAAAUCUGACUGCUGAAAGCUGCAAUGCUACUGCUGCUCUGGAACUCGUGCCUCUGAACCUAUGGUGUAAAAUAAACACCAUAGCACGAAUGUGUCAGUACGACUGAAUGUACUGAGUAUACGAGUGAGGUAGGAUAAAUGCAAAGGUUUUAUAUGCAUGAACAAUGCUUACUCAUAUGAAUGUGAGAAUACAUACCUGUAUAAGUAAUUAUAAUAAAACUCGUGGUGAUACUGACUACUGAGUCUGAAUGCUGACAACAUGAGUGUACUGAUACUAAGAUACUGAAUGACUGAGUUUACUGAUAUUUAUAUGUAAGUCACUACUAAGUGAGGAACUGAUACUACAUUACUGAAUAGAUGAAUGACUAUUUUUGACAGUUUGAAUUAUGAAGAAUUGGUCUAAUUUACUGUGUCUAACAGUCCUAAAAUUAAAUACUGAUAACAUAAGUUAUGAUGACUAAUAUAACUAAUAUGACUGUGAUGAUCGGCAUAACCGAUGUAACUGAUACUGAGCGAUUGUAUCUGACAGUCUAAGUUCUGAUGGAACUAUUUGAGUUUCGUUCUGUAUGGAGUAACUGUAUCUGAGAUCAGUCCUAUCUAGCGUGAGCUCUUUGAGUAUAAUGAUAAUAAAGAUGAUUUGACUUAGUCUGAGAUUAGUUUUACCUAGCGGGUAAUCUCUAAAUCUGAUUAUACUGAUGCUGAUUAACCAUAGUUGAGGUCAGUCCUAUCUAGUGGGUGAUCCCAGAGUCUAUUGAUAAUGAUAGGGAUUGACUGUAUCUGACAGUCUUGAAUCUAUAACUGAAAUUGUGGGAUGUAUUCAUCUAACAGACAUGUCCCUUUCUAGCUAGUCUGGGGUCCAACCCGUAACCCCACUUGGAAGGGUGUCAGUACCGCGCUACUGGUAAAGACAACUGCAGUGGAGUCAGUCCUAAUCUAGCCGGUGACCCCUGGGAUCAGUCCUAUAUAUUUGAAUGUGCUAACGGGUGAUCCUUGAGUAUGUUAGUCCUAUCUAAUGGGUGAUAUCUCGUACCUACACUGGCUACGUAGUUUUGGAUCUUAGGGAUUACUUCUGGGGAUCUCAUUCCUCUCUAGUGGGUGAGUCCCCAUCCCUAGGCUUGCUCGGUGCUGAAUCCUACUCCCAUCUAAAAGACUCUGAACUGAUUAACUGAGAUGAACUGAUUAACUGAACUGAACUGAUACUAGUGGUAUUAUUUAGCGGAGCUAAACUGAGUUUACUGAGUUCCAUUGACUGGCAAAAUAUAUUGAGUUCUGUGGACUGACUGAGAGUACUGUAGUUACUGAGAAAUACUGGGAAUAUUGAAUCACAGAGAUUGCUAAACUACUGAGAUUACUAAGAUUUCUGAGAUUUCCUGAGUCACAUGACAGACUGAGUUCUAUGGAUCAUGGCUUGACUGAGAGUAUCGUGAAAACAUGACAUGGCUCUAGGCACACAACUAAAUUGUCGGGUACAAGUAAUCCUAGGACUCGAUGGAAAGAAACUGGCAUAGCAUGGCUUACUUGAACACAUGACCAAUCAACACAAUUCAUAAUUCAUAUAUUGAAGCACUUCAUCAAACAUGUGAUAUGAAUAAGCUUGUACAUACAUGGGGAUUUCAUGAUAUAAUGCUAGUUAGGCACGUUUCCUUCAUCUAGGCAUUUAAUCAUACAUAUUGUAGGCAUAGUACAUGUAGACAACAUUAUACAAUAAACAAACAUCAUGAUUCAUCUCUAAUUUCAUCAUUCAAGGGUUUAGUCAUAAGGUUGCAUUAAUCUAUAGCUAUAAUAAUUAAACCCAGAUGGAAAUUAUUACCUAACAUGGAUUUGAGUUCAAUUGAUCAUUCUUAUCAUAAGCAAAACAAACCCAGCAUGAAAUUCAUAAAGAAAUCCAUAAACUUGAAUUUAGAAAAGGGAUUCUUGGGCUUCAUGGACGAAAGGAGUCCAUGAAUGAACACUAUGCAUACCUUAGGGAUAGAAUCUUGAAAGAAAAUUGACCUUUCUUGAAUGUUUUGGAUUGGGAAUCUUAAUUCUUGAAUAUCUUGUGGAGAGUGUGAUGGGGUCUUGAAGUUAAUUGAGAAGAAACCCUAAGUUUGUUCUUGGGAACAAAGGGGGUUAAGAGCUUUUGAAACUAAAUACCAAUAGCUAAAUACGUAUUUUUGGUGUUUUAUGUCGUGGGGGUAAGGUUUAGGGCGAGGGAAAAAGACCAAAAUACCCCUAGGAAAUUACUUCCCAGUUGCUGAAAUUAUCAGCUGACGACCAAGGCUGAUAAGCCAUCAGAUAUGUGAUAGCCCGUCUGCCCAGGUUGUCACCUAGGAGCUGGAAUUGAUGGGUUGCUGUUUAAGCUUGACGACAUGGCUGAUAAGUCAUCAGAAAUGUGAUAAGCUGUCAGACAGGUUAUCAGAAAUGUCAUAAGCCGUUAGACAGGUCGUCACUCAGUUUCCAGGCUGACAUGCUGGAGUAAAAUGGGUAUAACGUUUUGCUCCGAUAUCGGAUUUGCGUAAAAUUGGUAUCGUUGGAAAUAUAAUUCAAUUAUCUAUAUUUUGGUGGGUCAUGAGCUCAAAAAUUCGUAGUACAACAAUAGAUAUUUUCAUUUGAAGUUGACUAUAGAAAUAUCCUUUCCAAGAAUUCAAUCGGUAAGGAAUGUUUUGAUUCGUCUGAUAGCUGGGAGUUAUUUGAAGCCUUAAUAUACCUAUAUCUUACUCAUAAAACUAUAAAAUAAUUAUGAUGUACUAUGCAUGAGAUUGAAAAAUGGAGCUAAUAUUGGUUUGGAUUUUUUGGGGUAUUGCAAGGGUCUUCGGUUUGAGAUUUGUCUUAUUGUGUUUUGUUAAAUUGAGUUGGAGUGGUCGAAUGGGAUUUCGGUUUUGUGGAUAUAUAGUGGAUUGAGGAAUGCGGUCAUUGUCAUGAACCGAAUCAGGCUGGCUGAGACGGGCAUCCCAAGUCUGUCAUGGACCGAAGACCACCCUCUUUGCCUAGUCGCACAGAACACAAUACACUAAAAAUGGCUGAAUUCUGAACAUAUCAAGAGAUAGAUAAAGGUAAGAUCAAGAAGUCUAAGAUACAUCAACAACCAAUACCUAUUCCAUUGUAAUCCUUAAAAAAUUUAUGACAAAAUCAAAUCAAACCAAUUUCGGGACAUGCCCCCGACGAUAGCUAAAAUAAGUCCACUGAAAAGUCUAUGAUAAAAGAUAAACCAAAAAGUAACGGCUUCCUGAAUAUAGAGGAUCACCACUUCAAGUUGUUUGCUGAUAACCCAAAAACUCGACCACUUCGCAGAAAGAGAAGAAGUAUCUUCGGUUCCUGCAUCACGUGGGAAUACAACGUACGAAGAUGGUUAGCGGGUUGAGAACUAGCACGUAACUCAGGGGAGGGAUAAAAUAAUGCCAUGAUCAAUAAUUUAAAAUCAUCCAAAUCCAUUGGACGCAAUCAUAUGCAUAUACAUAUACAUAAAUAUAACAUGCCAGGGUAAGGAUCAAGGCUUAGCAUGAACAUUAAAACAUUAGCAUGGAACUAUGUAGCUCAACCGCUAUAAAAAGGGACCCACAAGCGAUAUGGGUUCAACUUUCCCUACUGAAAGGGCCCCUAUGCGUGUAGCCGCACGAACUAAAGAAAUAAUCAUAUGUACAUAUGUACCGUAGGGGACUCGAGCUACUCAGUCAUAUAUCAAGGGUGACGUGAACACCCAAUCAGUUAACAAGGGGGACUCAGACCACCCGGUCAUAAGCAAGAGGACUCGAACCCAAGGCCCUUUAGACCUCCCCUUCCCGACAAACGUGGUUUCUAGUAUUGGUCUCUUGGGAACUCCACUUUCACAACCAUUUCACACAACCCUUUUUAAGCCUAAUUUAAACAUUUUUCACAUAUUCCCAUUUAAUUGAACCACAAUAUUCCUUAAGGCAUUCACUAUUUGUUUUGUCAUACCAACUACACUUGUAAGGUAACAUCAUCAUGCUAGUAAAAUUCCAUUUCCUUGGGGAAAGCAACCCCUUUUGUUCAUUAAAUCAAUGUGGGGGAAUUCCAUGACCCCAUUUGUUCAUUAAAUCAAACCGUUAUGUUUCAAUAACCUCUUUAUAUCAUGCAAUGGUUCCCAAAAAUUGUUCAAUGCAAAUAUACUCAUAGUUAAAUCCAAUUUCACAAAAUUGUGUUGGGGUUAUACCAAUUCAAUUAUCCACAUUGAUGAAAUUAGGGGAAACCAUGAUCCCCUAGUUUAUUCACAAUGCCCAUGCACCCCACAUGUUCAAAACCAUCAAUUCAAACCAUACAUGAUUCAUAAAAGCCAUGGGAAAACAUUUAAUUCAAUAAUGUUCAAUAACCCUCAACCUACAUUUAAAAUCAUCAAUUAAAUCACACCGGUACAAUUAUAAACACAUGCUUUUGAUAAAAUAAGACUUGGGAAAGAACAUUCCUAAAAGUACAGAGAAUUAUGGAGGGAAAUCAACCCUUGAGCCCUUAGAUGACCAACUUUGAGUAACCCUAGCUUGUUCUUUGAAUGGGGAAUUUGAGAGAGUAAGGAGAGUGUUUAUGAUUGAUAAGGGUUGUAAAUAAUAGCCCUAAGGUGUUUUAUGUACGUGGGGUUUUAGUGGGUAAAGAGGGAAAUAUCUAAAGUACCCUUCAUUAAAAGCUGAAAAAUUAUCGCCAGUGACUACAGAUUACUAUAUGACUCAUAAGGAUACGCUACAACUCAUCACCACGAGUCGUAGUGUGGACAGUAGCUGAGGGACCCCUCUUUGGUGAACUACGAUUCAUACCAUAUGACUCGUUAAGAGACCCUAUGACACGUAAGGUCCUAGUCAUAACUAGGACAAUAGCAUUUAGGGUACACACUGGUCAGACAAUGAUUUGGACACCACAACUCAUAAUGAGUCUUUACGACUCAUUACCUCUAGUUGUAAUCAAGACAAUAAAAUCAACAUACUUACUGGUCAAAUGAUGAUUUGGAUAUUAUGGAUCGUAAGGACAUCUUAUGACUCGUAAUGUGAGUCAUAGGUUGGGCAGUGAGUUCAAAAACUCAAAAUUUUUCAAGGACCAAAAUCCAGGGUGUUACAUUCUUUCCCCCUAGGAUCGAAUGAUGAGACAAGACAUCCAUUAGCAAGAUUUAACACGGAACGCAACCAUACUUACCUUUAACAAAGAUAGAAAACAAAGAUAUUAAGGAAUACACACACCUUUAGCACGAUUAUCCCAAGCAGAAAAUAUGAAUAGAUAUUUGGACUUCAUGUCCUUUCAGUUUCCCAAGUGGCUUCUUCAAUAUUGUGAUGCCUCUAUAGAACUUUCAUCGAAGCCACAUACUUUGUCUACAAUUGGAGGACUUUCUGAUCCAAAAUCUCAACCAGGGCUUUCUUAUAAGACAAGGAAUUCGAAAUGCCAAUACUCUCUAAACGGACAACUAAGAAAGGAUCACCCACGCACUUCUUCAACAUUAAAACAUAGAACAUCGGAUGGACAAAGCCUAAACUUGAAGGCAACUCCAACUCAUAAGCAACGUUUCCCACUCUUAUCAAAAUCAAGUAUGGGCCAACAUAAUAGGGACUGAGCUUUCCCUUCUUUACAAAUCUCAUUACUCCUUUUAUGGUAGACAACUUUAAGAAUACCCAAUCACUAACAUCAAACUCCAACUCCCUACGCCUCAUAUCCGCAAAGGACUUUUGGUGACUUUGGGUGGUCUUAAGCCUAUCCCAAAUCUCCUUCAUCUUCUCCAUAGCUUAAUGAACUAAGUUAGGACCAAAUAACCUUACGUCACCAACUUUGAAGCAUACAAUUGGAGAUCGAAAUCUUCUACCAUAUAAAGCCUUGAACGAAGCCAUCUGAAUGCUGAAAUGAUAGCUUUUAUCGUACGCAAACUCUAUGAGAGGCAAUUGAUCAACCCAACUACCAUGGAAGUCAAUCAUAAAAGCCUUUAGCAUAUUCGCCAAGGUCUGCAUGGUCCUAUCCACUUAUCCAUCCAUCUGAGGGUGGAAAGUGGUGCUAAGGUUCACCUUAUCCCUAAACCUCACUAAAAAUAAUACAAAAAAUGAGACGAGAACUGCGUACCUCAAUCAGGUAUAAUGGAAACUAGAGAAUCAUGUAACUUUAUUAUCUUUUGAAUGAAAAUCUUAGCAUAGUCCUCUACGGAAAAAUUAGUCCUCACAGGCAAGAAAUGAGCAAAUUUGGUCAUCCUAUCCACGAUGACCCAAAUCGAAUCAAGCUGACUAUGAGACCACGAAAGACCGAUAACGAAAUCCAUAUUAAUAACUUCCCAUUUCCAUGCAGGCAACUCAAUCUCUUCAGAAGAUCCACCUGGCCUCAAGUGCUAAACGUUCACUUGCUAAUAAACCAUACACUUGGCUACGAAAUUUGCCACAUCUUUUUUUUUUCCACCAAUAAAUCUCCUUCAAGUCAUGAUACAUCUUCGUCGAACCAGGAUGAACAGUAUACCUUAAAUCACAAGCCUCGGCCAAAAUCCUUUCCCAUAACCCAUCAACAUUGGGAAUACACAAUCUACCUUGAUACCUCACGAUACCAUCACUACUAAUCUUAAAACCCAAGACUUUUUACUGACCUACCUUAUCCUUAAUUUGCAUCAAGGUAAGAUCCAAAACCUGCUUCUCCUUUACCUUAGUACUGAUAGAAGACUUUGCAACCUCCUGAACGAUCACGCCACCAUCCUUAAAAUCCAAAAGACAAACUCAAAGAUUAGCUAAAUAGUGAAUAUCCUUCACCAGCCCUCGCUUCUCCUCAUCAACAUGAGAUAAUCUUUUCAUAGGUAACCUACUAAGAGCAUUGAAAACCAAAUUAGCUUUACCUGGAUGAUAGUGAAGACUCAUAUCAUAAUCCUUGAGUAACUAAAGCUAUCUCCUUAACCUGAGAUUCAACUUCUUCCAAGUGAACAUGUACUGCAGGUUGUUGUGAUCAUAAUAUAUAUCAAUAUGAACUCCAUAAAAGUAAUGGCACCAAAUCUUCAAAGCAUAAACCACGACCAACAACUCUAAAUCAUUAGUUAGAUAAUUCUUCCCAUGCACCUUAAGCUGCCUAAAAACAUACACCACCACCAUGCCAUGCUGCAUUAAAACACAACCAAGUACCAUACGGGAUGCAUCACAAUAUAUAAUGAAACCAUAAGUACCCUCAAAUAGGGUCAAAAUCGAAGUCGAAGUUAACUUACCCUUUAACUUCUCAAAACUACCCUCACAAGCAUCAGACCAUAAGAACUUCACCUUCUCCUGAGUUAACUUAGUCAAUAGGAUAAUAAUCGAAGAGAAACUCUCCAUAAACCUCCUAUAAUAAUUGGCUAAACCCAAGAAGCUCUGAAUAUUGGUUGGAGUCGUGGGUUUAGGCUACUUCUUAACCACCAUAAAUUUCUGUGUAUCUACCAUGAUGCCCUCACUAGAAACAACAUGACCCAGAAAAUUAACAACAUUCAACUAGAACUCACACUUGGAAAAUUUACCAUACAAACAUUGAUCUUUAAGGGUCUGCAAUACUAUAUGGAUGUGAUUGGCAUAAUCCUUCUCACUCUAUAAAUAUACAAGAAUAUCAUCACUGAACAUAAUGACAAACAAGUCAAGAAAAUAAUGGAAUACCUGGUUCAGAAGAUCCAUAAAUGCCGCCUGGGCAUUAGUUAAACUGAAGGACAUCACCAAGAACUCAAAAUGACUAUAACGGGUUAAAAAAGAGUCUUAGGGAUGUCCACCUACCUAAUCUUCAUCUGAUGAUAACCCGACUGAAGAUUGUCUUAGAGAAGUACUUAGCACCCUGAAACUGGUCAUAAAGAUCAUUAAUCCUAGGGAGUGGUUACUUAUUCUUUAGUAUCACCUUAUUCAAUUGACGGUAGUCUAUACACAUUCGAAGGGAGCCAUACUUCUUACACAUGAAAAUAAUAAGAGCACCCCAUAGGGAAACACUAGAGUGAAUAAAACCCUUAUCAAGAAGGUCUUUCAACUACACCUUUUCUUUUAUUCAAAUUAGUUGGAGACAUUCUAUAAGGAAGGAUACAGAUAGGAUGGGUAUCCAGUAGAAGGUCAAUCCCAAAAUAAUUUCCCUAUUGGGAGAAAUACCAGGUAGAUAGUUAGGAAACACUUUGGGAAAAUCACUAACCUUGGGGACAAACUGUAAAAAAGAACCUUCAAAAUUAGAAUUCUUAACCCGAACUAGAUGAUAUAGGCAACCUUUGGAAAUAAAUUUCCUGGCUGUAAGAUAAGAAAUGAACCUUCCUUAGGUGCUAAAGCUACCUUCCAACUCAAUCACAAGUUCAUUUGGGAAUUGGAAACUAACCCUUUGGGUUCUACAAAUAAAGGACGUAUAACACAAUAGAGCCAAUCCAUCCCCAAUAUAACAUCAAAAUCUAGCAUAUCCAACUUUAUUUAAUCCACCAAGGUCUCCCCACCACAGAUAGAUACCGCACAACCCAUAUAUACUCUUCUAGCAACCAAAAAAUCACCCACUGGGGUGAUUCAAAAAAGAGGUUUGAAAUACACUUAGGACCAAAUCCAAAAUAAAUAGCCAUAUAAGAGGUCAUAUAAUAAUGAUUAGACCCUAGAUCAAGUAAGCAAUACACAUCAUAAGAGAAGAAUUGUAAUGUACUAGUGACAACAUCAUGAGAAGGCUCAAAUUUCUAAUGGGUGGUAAGAGCAUACAAACAAUUCCAUCCAGAGCCGGUACUAGAAGCGGCACCCUUUAGUGCCGGUGAUAAAAAAGUAAAAAUCAAAACCUUAUUAGUCCAGUAUCCACCUUAGAUGAAGGAUAAUCAUGCUGCAUGUGACCAAGCUGACCACACCUAAAAUACUUAUUCUUUUCGUCAUCAUAAAUACCCCAAUCCACCUGCCUAUAGAAGCGACAAAGGGGAUAAGAUGGGGCCAACUGAGCUUUGUUGGCCGAUGAUUGGGCACCUUGUGCCCUAAAUCUAUUAUCUUUCUAGAAGCAAAGAUCACCAGAUGAUUUAGGAUAUAAAGCACUAGCCGUGGAAUAAGAUCUAGAAUUUCCCCACUUCUUCUUAGAUCACUGCCCGAGAUCUCUACCACUAUUCUGAUAACCUUCUCUCUAUUCUGAAUACUUGAAUUUCUUAAUCUUCCUUUCCCCUAUUUCAAAUUGCUUUAUUUUUACUCCUCAACCUGUUUCAUAUACACCAUAAGUCUAGAGAUAUCCAUAUCCUUGUUCAACAAGGCGACCUUGCACUCCAAAUCCAAAUCACAAGACAAGCCCAAGGUGAACUUUCUCAUCCUCUCCCUCAUAGAUGACAUUAACUCUGGAGCAUAACAAGAUAACUGAUAAAAUUUCAAGGCAUGCUCCUUAACAAUUAUUCUGCCUUAUUUCAGUUUUACAAAUUGCUCGGCCUUCGCUUCUCUCAACUCCUAAGAAAGAAAUAGAUCUAAAAAGGUACUCGAAAGGUCAUCCCAUAUUGUUGGCUUGACAUCUUCUCACCUCAUCUUCUCUACUCCUCAUACCACUGAUAUGGAAGAUCCUUCAACUUAUAUCCGGCAAAUUCAAUGCCCUUAGAGUCAGAAGCAUGCAUAACUCUGAAGAUCUUUUCCAUCUCAUUAAUAAAAUUUUGAGGAUCCUUCUCAACCUAUGAAAAUCGAAGGGCUCAACCUCAUAAACUAGACAACUCUAGUAACUUCAAAAGAUGGAGCAAUAGAAGCAAUACGCUCAGUCUGAGAAGCCACUAACUGGGUAAGCAAAAGGAUUGAAUAAUGAAACUCAGUACUAGAAACAUCGGCUUAAGGUAUCCAAGGUUGAAUAGAGGGAAUUGGUGGAACUACACGAGGGCAAUAAGGAGCUAGAUCCCUAGACCAGGUCUGUACCCUAUAAGUAGAUGAGCUUCAUCCAUAUUAUCCUCAAGAGAGACUAAAGAGUUUCCACAAGCAUUAGAUUUUCUAGGGGGCAUGAUCUGAAGUCCGAAUAAAUAGAAAUUAGAGGGGAUUCAAGGCCUUAGACUCUAUAGCCCAAAAUAGAACAACAAGAAAGGGAAACAUUCCUAAAUGUCUUGUAACCUCUCCCUAAUAAGUGUGGCGCACUACACACCCAUAAAAUAACUCUACUUGACAUGACUUUGUGGAAAACUAAUUGACCAUGAAUCUAGGCUCUGAGACCAACUUUGUCAUGACCCAAACCAGCAUCUGCCUAUGACGGGCAUUCCAAGUCUGCCGUGGAUCGGAGACCACCCCAUUUGCCAAGUCCCACAAAACAUAAUACACUAAUAGAGGAUGAAUUUGGAACAUAUAACAAAGAUAAAGGUAAACUCAAGAAAUCUAUGAUACAUCAACAACCAAUACCCAAUCCAUAGUAAUCCACAAAGCCUUUAUGGCAAAAUGAAUCAUGACAAUGUCGGGACAUGCACCCGAUGAUAACUAAAAUAAUUCUAAAUAAAAGUCUAUGAUAAAUAUAAACCAAGAACAACAAUCUUUCGAAAGAUGGAGGCUCACCACUUUAAGCUGAUUGCCGAUAACUCAAAAAUCUAAUCACUACACAGAAAACACAGAAGUGUCUCUGGUUCCUGCAUUGCAUGGGGAUACAACAUCCAAAAAUGGUUAGCGGGUUGAGAGCUAGCAUGUAACUCAGGGGAGGGAUAAAAUAAUACCAUGAUCAAUAACUUAAUAUCAUCCCAAUCCAUUGCACACAAUCAUAUGCAUAUACAUAUACAUAAAUAUAAUAUGUAGGGGUAAGGAACAAGGCUUAGCAUGAACUUUACAACAUUAUCCUAGAUUGUGUAGCUCAACCAUCAUAAAAGGGUACCCACGAGCAAUAUGGGCUCAGCUCUCCCUACUGAAAGUCCCCAAGUACAUAUAGCCACAUAAACAAGAGAAAUAAUCAUAUGUACAUAUGUCACAACCCAAACCAGGGCUCGAUCAUAACGGGUAUCUCAAGUCCACCGGGGACCAGAGACAACUCCUUUGCACCUAACCAAACAACAUAAUAUCCAUAAUAUUGGAUGAAUUCCAAAUAUAUAACAAUAUAACACAUGAUAAGAUUAAAGAAUAAAAGGUAAGUCUAUGACCGAUAACCAGUAACCAGCUAAAAUAAGCAACUAACAUCACCCAAGUCCACAGUACUCCAACAAAACCUUAUAACAAAAAAAACCAAAACCCAGUCUUGGUUGGGACAUCCUCGACUCUAAAUGAUGAAAAUGACAAUGAUAUUGAUAAUAAUAAUGGAAACUCUCAAUUCUAAUCUAUGUUAAUAACUGAUGAAAUGUCUAAGUCUUCCAGAGAAUAGAAGCUCACCAUUUCAGUACAAUGAGUUAAUGAACCAAGUCGAUCCUCCUAACUCUUCAUAGGAAAAGUAGAGGUAUCUUUGGGACCUACUUUACAUGGGGAUACAAAGUUUGUUGAUGGUUAGUGGUUGGGUCACUAGCAUGUAAAUUAGGUAUAGUGGAUUAAAUAAUGCCAUUAAUAUCAAUUCAAAACCAAUCAAAAUACAAUGCAUAUAACCGUAUACCUUUACAUAUAUAUAUAUAUAUAUAUAUAUAUCUAAAUAUCACAUGGCGGGAUAGGGGACAAGUCUUAACAUGCACAUUAAUAUUUUAGCCUGGAUUGUGUAGCUCAACCAUCAUAACAUACGAAGUCACCCACGGUCUAUAUGUGCCCAACUUUCCCCCUGAUGGUAGGGCCCCAGUGUGUGUGGCCCCAUAAAUCAAAGGGUAUGCAUAUGCACUAUGAGGGACUUAAAGCUCCCAGUCAUAUGAUAAUAAUAAUAAGGGAGACUCAAAACACCCAGUUAUAUAGCCCCUCAUGUCGGUAAUAUAAUGUAGGAGACUCAAACCUCCCAGUCAUAUGAUAAUAAUAAUAAGGAAGACUCAAACCACCCAGUUAUAUAGACCCUCAUGUCGGUAAUUGCGGUUUCUAGUAUUGAUAUCUCGGGACUUCCAGUUUCACGACUCAGUUACAUAACCAUCAUUAAACCAUAAUUAAUAAAUUUUCACACAUUUCCAUCAUUGAGCCACGAUCCAUAUUCAGGCAUACAUUUUUGGUAUCGUCAUACCAACUACACUUACAAGGAAACAUCAACAUGCCAAAACAAUUUCAUUAUUAGGGAACAUUCAUAGCCCCCAUGGUUCAAUUAUACAUUAUCUUAGAGAAUCACGCAAUCUCUUAGGGUUCAAUUUCAAAACCAUUAUCACUUUAUGCAAUAGUUCAAGAGUAGUUCAGUAUGCAUGCUUUUUAUAUUCAAAAACCAAUUUCACAAUAUAGGGCUAAGGUCAUAACCACUUCAAAAGUCAUAAGUUGGGAAAUCACAAUUCCCUAAUUUAUUCACAUACCUAUGCAUCAAAUUGAUUUUAAAACCACCAUUUACAUAAUCCAUGCAGGGACAAACAUGAAACAUCACAUAAACACCAGUUAUUCAAAACACUUAACCCAUGUUUUCAAAACCAACAUCAAUACUAUAUGAACAACACUUCCAAACUUAUGCUUUUAACAAAUUAGCAAUUAGGGAAGAGUAACAUGCCUGGAAUACCAAGUUUCACAGAUAGAAUUCAAUCCUUAAUCCCUUGGAUGACCUACUUCUUGAAAACCCUAAGUAUGACUGCUUGAGGUACUUGAGAGAGAUGUGGAAGUGUUUGAGUACAUAUAAAUGAAAAAUAACCCCCUUAAGUGCUUUAUGAACAUGGGGUUUUAAUUUAGUGAGAAGGAAAUUGUCCAAAGUGCUCUUAAUUUAAAAACUAAAAUUUAGUCGUCAGUGACUACAAGUCACUAUACGACUCGUAGUGACUCAUUAUAACUCGUCACCAUGAUUCGCAACCAAGACAUCCUCUAGGGAACUUACAAUGUGAUGACCCUAAGACUUAACUAAUAUGACUCGUAAUGGGACCCUAUGACUCGUAGGGUUCAGUCGUAGUCAACACAGAACCUAUUUAGGGUAAACACUAGACAUCCUAUGAUUUGCACCCAACGAUUUGUAAUGAGUCCUUACGAAUCUUACUGAGCCACUCGUACUCAGAUCGAAAGUUAGUCACACACUUCCUUUUUAGGCUACGAUUGGGUCUCUAAGACCCAUCAAGACCACCUAUGACUCGUAGGGGAGUCGUAGUCAGGACAGUGGGGAUAAAACUUUAGAUAUUUUCAAGGACCAAAAACCCAGGGUGUUACAUACUUCCCCCCCUUAGGAUCAUUCAUCUUCGAAUUAUAGGACAAGAUAUUUAUUUGUAGGAUUUGACUCCAAUAUAACCAACUUACCUUUAACAAAGACAAAAAAUAAGAUGUUAAAGAAUACACAUACCUCCAGCCCAAUUACCCGACGUAGGGAACAAGAAUGGAUACUUGGACUUCAUGUCCUCCCCGGCUUCUGACGUAGCUUCAUCAGCCUCUUGGUUCCUCUAAAGAAGCUUUAUCAAUACCACAUCCUUGGUCCAUAAUCGACAGACUUGUCAAUCCAAAAUCUCAAUCGAGACUUCCUCAUAGGAUAAGGAAUCUAAAAUACCCACCUCCUCCAAAGGAACGACCAUCAAAGGAUCACCCAUGCACUUUCUUAACAUCAAAACAGGAAACACUGGGUGAAUGGAGCUCAAACUAGAAGGCAACUCUAAUUCACAUGCAACAUUACCAACCCUCUUCAAAAUAAAGUAUGGACCAAUAUAACGAGGAAUGAGAUUCCUCUUCUUACCAAACUACAUCACUCCUUUCAUAGGAGACACCUUUAAGAACAUCCAAUCACCAAUACUGAACUCCAACUCCCUUCACCUUACAUCUGCGUAGGACUUCUGAUGACUUUGGGAGGUUAAAGUCUAUACUAAAUCACCUUUACCUUCUUCAUGGCUCGGUGAACCAAAUCAGGGCCAAAUAGUAUUUUUUCACCAACCUCAAACCACUUAAUAGGACACCUAUACCUCCUACCACAUAAGGCCUCAAACGGGGCCAUACUAAUGCUAGAGUGUUAAUUUUUGUUGUAGGCAAAUUCUAUGAGGGGCAAGUGGUAAACCCAACUACCAUUAAAAUGAAAUACACAAACCGAACCAUUUUUUUUGAGGACUGAAUUAUCAUUUCUUCUUGGCCAUCCAUCUGCGGGUGGAAAGUUGUGCUAAGGGUUACCUUAGUCCCUAAACAUCACUAGAACAACCUCCAAAAGUGAGAUGAGAACUGAGUGACUCGAUCAGGUAUGAUGGAAAUUGGAGUACCAUGCAACUUCAUAAUCUCCACAAUGUACAACUUGGUAUAAUUCUCAAAAGAAAAAUUAGUCCUUACUGGCAAGAAGUGAGCAAACUUAGUCAUCCUAUCCAUGAUGACCCAAAUCGAAUCAAAUUGCUAGUGAGACCACAGAAGAUCGGUGACAAAAUCUAUAUUAAUUAUUUCCCAUUUCCAUAUUGCCAACUCAAUCUCUUGAGUCAAUCCACCGGGCCUUAAGUGCCCCACCUUCACUUACUGACACGCCAUGCUUUUAGCCAUAAAAUCCAUAUCCCUCUUCAUAUUAUUCCACCAAUAAAUCUCCUUAAGAUUAUGAUACAUUUUUGUCGAACUAUGAUGAAUAGUAUAAUGCGACUCAUGAGCUUCAGCCAAAAUUCUUCUUCGCAACCCAUCAAUAUAAAAACACAUAAUCUACCUUGGUACCUCAAGAUAUCAUCACCACCGAUCUCGAAAAUCAUCACCUUCUGCCUACCUACAUCAUUCUCCUUCACCCCAGCAUCAAGAGAUGACUUUUUCACCUCUUGAACAAUUACACCACUAUCCCUAAAAUCCAAUAGACGAACUCCUAGAUUAACAAAAUAGUGAAUAUCCUUCAUAAAAUUCCAUAUCUUUUCGUCCACAUAAGAUAAGAUUCCUAUGGACAACCUGCUAAGAGCAUCAACAACCAUGUUAGCUUUACUUAUAUAAUAGUGGAGACUCAUGUAAUAGUCCUUAAACAACUCAAGCCACCUUCUUUGCCUGAGAUUUAGCUCCUUCUGAGUGAACAUCUAUUGUAAUCUCUUAUGAUCAGAAUAAAUAUCAACAUGGACCCCAUACAAAUAAUGUUGCUAGAUCUUCAAUUCAAGCACUAUAGCUAACAAUUUGAAAUCAUGAGUCAAGCAUUUCUUCUCAUAAACUUUUAAUUGUCUAAAGGCAUAAGCAACCACCUUGUAAUGCCACAUUAACACCACCCAGUCCUACUUGGGAGGCAUCACAAUAUACCACUAAACCAUCGUUGCCCUCAAGUAGAGUCAAAAUCAGAGCUAAAGUUAACUUAUCCUUUAACUUCUCAAAACUACCCUCAAAAGCAUCAAACCAUAAAAAUUUUACCUUCUUCUGAGUCAACUUAGUCAAUGGGGCAGUAAUAGAAGAAAUCUUUCCACAAACCUUCUAUAAUAACUGGCUAAACACAAAAAGCUCCGAAUGUCGUUGGAGUCAUAGAUCUAGGCUACUUAUAAACCACCACAACCUUCUAUGGAUCUACCAUGAUCCCUUCACUAGAAAUAAUAUGUCCUAGAUAAGUCACAAAAUUUAAUUAGAACUCACACUUUGAGAACUUAACAUACAACCAUUGAUCCUUCAAGGUUUACAACACAAGGUGGAGGUGAUUGACAUGAUCUGCCUCGUCCUUAUAAUACACCAAAAUAUCAUCAAUAAAGACAAUCACAAAAAAGUUCAGAAAUUGAUGAAAAACCUGAUUCAUAAGAUCCAUAAAUGCUAUCGGGGUAUUUGUCAAACCAAAGGAUAUCACUAAAAAUUCAAAUAACCAUAUCAGGUUCGAAAAGCAGCCUUAGGGAUUUACACCUCCCUAAUUUUCAAAUGAUGAUAACCCGACUGAAGGUCAAUCUUAUAAAAAAACUUGGCACCCUGAAGCUGAUCAAAUAGAUCAUCAAUACUCAGAAGGGGAUACUUUUUCAUUAUGGUCACCUUAUUUAAUUGGCGGUAAUCAAUACAUAUCAGAAAGGAUCCACCCUUCUUAUGGACAAAAAGAAUAGGAGUGCCCCAUGGAGACACUAGGGCGGAUAAAACCCUUAUCCAGAAAAUCUUUCUACUGCUCUUUGAGUUCUUUCAACUAAACCAGAGUCAUUUUGUAAGGAGAGAUAGAAAUAGGAUAUGUUUUUGGAUAAAGAUCAAUCCCAAAAUCAAUUUCCUUGUCAGGAGGAACACAUGGAAGAUCAUUAGGGAACACCUCAAGUAAUUCACAGACCACAAGGACAGUCUACAAAGAAGGAUCUUGAGAUUUAGAAUCCUUAACAUAUACUAAGUUAUAGAGACAUCCUUUAGAAACCAAUUUUCGGGCUCUAACAUAUGAAAUGAACCUUUCCUUAGGUACUAGGGAGAUACCUUCCCAUUUGAUCACUGGCUCAUUUAGGAAAUAGAAAUUGACCCUUCUGGUCCAACAAUCAAGGGACAUAUAACACAAAUGCAAUUAUUUUAUUACCAAAAUCAUAUCAAAGUCUAACAUGUACAACUCUAUCAGAUCCACCAAGUUCUCCCCACUAUAGACCAAAAUUAUAGAACCCUUAUACACCCUUUUAUCCAUAAUAGAGUCAUCCAUCGGGGUGGAUACAGAAAAGGGGUUCGAAAUACUUUCAGGAUCAAAACCAAAAUGGAAAUCCACUUAAGGGGUCACAUAAUAAAGGAUAGACCCGAGAUCAAGUAGACAAUAUACAUCAUGAGAGAAGAGUUUGAGCGUACAAGUAACAAUAUCAAGGGAUGCUUUAGAAUCCUAGAGGGUGGCAAGAGCAUACAAGCAGUUUUAUUCAGUGCCAGAGCUAGAAACAAAAGUUGCACCCUUUGGUACAGGAGCUGAUAAAGUAGCAACAUGAAUUUUAUUUUCCCAAAAGCAACUUUAGAAGGGAAAUUCCUAUGCAUAUGAUGUAUCUGAUCCCAUUUAUAAUAUUUGUUCCCUCUUUUUUCACAAACACCAUGAUGCACCUGACCACAAAAUCUGAUAGGGGACAUGAUAAAGUUGACUGAGCCCUACUAACUUGAGGUUGGGAUCUUGGUACUCUAAACCAACUAUUAUACUGAGAACAAUGAUCACCUGACGACUUUGAAUAAGGAGCACUAGCUGUAGAGUAGGAACUGGAAUUGCCCCACUUUUUCUUGAACCGCUUUUCACCAUCUCUAUCACUCUGCUGAUGACCUCCACCCUAUUUUGAGCAGUAAAAGUUCUUAUUCUACCUUUUAUUUAUCUCUGCUUUUUUCUUCUUUUCCUCUUCCAUUUGUUGCAUAUACACCACAAGUCUAAAGAUGUGUAUGUCAUUAUUCAACAAGGUAGCCUUUCUCUCUAAGAUCAACUCAUAAGAAAACACAGUGGCAAAUUACUCAUUUUAUCCCUCAUGCUAGACAUUAAUUAGAGCAUAAUGCGACAACUGAUGAAGUUUCAAGGCAUACACCUUUUCUAUCAUCCCGCCUUGCUUUAAAUUUAUGAAUUCCUCAACCUUUGCCUCCAUUAACUCCUGAGGAAAGAAAUAAUCAAGAAAAGAACUAGAGAAAUCAUCCCACAAAGAGGAUUCAACAUCAUCACCCUAAGCUGCUCCCACUCUUCAUACCAUUGGUAUGCUACAUCCUUCAACUGAUAAGCUGUGAAAUCUAUACCUUCCAUCUCAGUAGCAUGCAUCACACAUAAAUAUUUUUCAUCCCAUUAAUGAAAUUUUAUGGAUCUUUUUCAACUUUAGAACUAGUGAAAGUAGGAGGGCUCAACCUCAUGAAUUGGCCAACUCUAGUAGCCUCAGAGGAUGGAGAAACAAAAGCAACACACUCAGUCUGGGAGGCCACCAACUAGGUAAGUAAAUGAAUUGACUAUCAAAACUUAGUAUUAGUCAUGCUAGCUAGAGGUUCCUGAGGAGUGAUAGGGGAACCGCUGGAGCUCCAUCAGGCUAAUCAGAAGCAGUGACCCUAGACCAGGUCUAAACUCUUGGAGUAGGCUGAGGUUCAUUCAUAUUAUCCUUAGAUGGGACAAAAAAGUUUCCAUGAACAUCAGAUCUUCUGGGAGGCAAGAUCUAAAAAGCAAACAUGCAGGAAUUAGAGGAGAUUCAAGAACUUAGACUCAAGUAUAUAGCUCAAAAUAAAAAAACAAAAAAGGUAAACACUCCUAAAUACCUCAUAGCCUCUCCCUUAUAAGUGUGGUAUUCUACACACCCAUAAAAGAGACUCUACUUGACACAACUUUAUGGAUACCCAAUGACACCUAAACUAGCUCUAAUACCAUCUUUGUCAUGAUCCGAACUUGGGCCCAACUGUGAUGUGUAUUUGUUGUCCAUUGGAGACUGGAGACCACCCCUUUGAACCUAACCAAACAUAAUAAUAUCGUCAAUGUCAAAUAUUUUAACUUUCAUGACUCAUCUACAUAACCUUCAUUAAAGCCUAAUUAAAAUAAUUGUCUCACAUUCCUAUUUAUUAAACCAAGAUACACAUUCAGGAAUACAUUAUUGGUAUCAUCAUACCUACUAUACUUGCAUGGUAACAUCAACAUACCAAAAUAAUUUCAUUAUUGGGUAACAUUCAUAGCGCCCCUUGGUUCAAUUAUACAUUUGCUUAGGGAAUCACACAACCUCAUAUGGUUCAAUUUCAAAACCAUUACGCUUAAUUGAUUUUUCACUUUAUGCAAUAGUUCAAGAGUAGUUCAAUUUGCAUACUUUUGAUUAACAAUUAUGGAAAUUGCAAUCCUCUAAUUUAUUCACCAUAACCAUACAUCAAAUUGAUUUUAAAACAACCAUUUACGUAAUCCGUGCGGGGGCAAACAUGAAAUAUUAUAUUAACAACGGUUGUUCAAAACCCUCAACCCGUGUUUUCAAAACCAACAUUAAUACCAUAUGAUCAACACUUUAAAACUUAUGCUUUUAGCAAAUUAACAAUUAGGGAAUAGUAACAUGCCUUGAAUACUAAGUAUGGCUGCUUGAGGGACUUGAGCGAUAUUUGGAAGUGUUUGAGUACGUUAUGAAUAAGAAAUAACUCCCUUAAGUGCUUUAUAAACGUGGGGUUUUAAAUAGGUAAGAAGGGAAUUGUUAAAAGUGCCCUAAAUUUUAAAACUAAAAUUUAGUCGUCAGUGACUAUGGGUCCCUAUACAACUCAUAGAUUCGUCAGUGACUAUGGGUCACUAUAUAGCUUGUAGAGACUCAUUAUGUCUUGUCACCACGAGUUGCAGCCAAGACAGCCUCAAGGUCACUCACAAUCUGUUGACCCUAUGAAUCAACUAAUACAGCUCGUAAUGGGACCGUAUGACUCAUAGGGUUCAGUCGUUGUUAUCACAAAACCCAAUUGGGGUAAACACUGGACAUUCUACGAUUUACACCCAAUGACUCGUAUCGAUUCCUUACGACUCUUAGUGAGACACUUGUACCUAGACCAGAACUUAGUUAUACACUUAUUAUUUAGGUAUAAUUGGGUCCCUAGGACCCGUCAAGACUCGUAGAAGGAGUCAUAGUUAGGACAGUGAGGAUAAAAUUUCAAAAAAUUUCAAGGACCAAAAACCUGAGGUGUUACAACAUAUGUACCAUAGGGGACUUGAAUAACCCGGUCAUAUAUCAAGGGUGACAUGAACAUCCGAUCAGUUAACAAGGAGGACUCUAACCACCGGGUCAUAAAAAAGGGGACUCAAAUCCCAGUCCUUCUAGACUCCCACACCGAUAAAUGAGGUUUCCAUUAUUGGUCCCUUGGGACCUAUACUUACAUGUCCUAGCUACACAACCCUCUUUAAGCCCAUUUAAAUUAUUUUUUCACACAUUCUCUUUUAAUUGAACAACGAUAUUCCUUAAGGCCUACACUGUUGGUAGCAUCAUUCUAACUAUACUUGCAAGGUAACAUGAUCAUACCAGUACAAUUCUAUUCACUUGGGGAAAAUAACCACCUUUGUUCAUUAAAUCAUGUGGGGGGAUGCCAUGAUCCCAUUUGUUCAGUAAAUCAAACUAUUACGUUUCAAUAAUCUCUUUAUAUCAUACAAUGGUUCCCAAAAAUAGUUCAAUGCAAAUAUACUCAUAUUCAAAGCCACUUUUAUAAGUUUGGGUUGGGGUUAUACCAAUUUAAUUAUCUACAUUCACGAAAUUAGGGGAGACCAUGACCUCCUAGUUUAUUCACCAUGCCAAUGCACCCCACAUGUUCAAAACCAUUAAUUCAAAUCACACAUUAUUCAUAAAAGCCAUGGGAAAAAUAAUUAAUUCAAUAAUGUUCAAUAACCUUCAACCCACAUUUAAAAUAUUCAAUAAAAUCAUAUGGGAACAAUUAUAAACACAUGAUUUUGAUAAAAUAAGACUUGGGGAAGUGUAACAUGCCUGAAAGUAUAGAGAAUUAUAGAGAGAAAUCAACUCUUGAUCCCUUAGAUGACCAAUUUUAAGAAACCCUAGCUUGUGCUUUGAAUAGGGAAUUUGAGAGAGGAAAGAGGGUGUUUAUGAUUGAUAAGGAUUAGAAAUAAUUGUCCCAAGAUGUUUUAUGUGUCUGGGGUCUCAGUGGGUAAAGAGGUAAAUGUAUAAAGUGCCCUUAAUUAAAAGCUAAAAAAUUAUCGCCAGUGACUAUAGGACAUUAUACGACUCGUAAGGACUCACUACGACUCGUUACUAUGAGUCAUAGUUUGGACAGUAGCUAAGGGAACCCUCUAUGGUGACCCUAUGACUUACACUAGGUGACCUAUUAAUAGACCCUACAACUCAUAGGGUCCUAGUCAUAACUAGAACAACAAUAUUUGGGGGUACAUACUGGUCAGAUGAUGAUUUAGACACCACAACUCGUAAUGAGUCUUUAUAACUCAUGACUUCUAGUAGUAAUCAAUACAAUAUCAAAGACACUACUCACUGCUUAGAUGAUUAUUUGGAUGCUAUGGAUUAUAAGGACACCUUACGACUCGUAAGAUGAGUAGUAGGUUGGGCAGUGAGUUCAAAAACUCAGAAAUUUUUAGGGACCAAAAUCAGAGGUGUUAAAAUUAUAUUCUUGUAUUGGUGGAUUAAUCAUUUGGUGAAGGGUUUUUGGGGUGAACGGGAGGAUUUGAAGCAUGCCAACUAGUCGAGGCAUGGUAAUGUUGAGGUAUGGAUAUGGGCGAGUUUAGUCGACCUUCCACAUUAUCCACUCUUCCACCUAUGUUGGACACAUUCCUUUAAGUGAACCCACAUUAAGGUCAAGUGAUCAUAUCUUAGUGUCCAUGGACUCAAUUUUAUGGCUGAGAGUUUCAAUGGCUACUAAAAUAACAUUUGUUGAGUGGUUUUCCAUGGUUUGUGAAGUUUAUCCUUAUAUAUCCAUUGUAACUACGAAGAAAGAUACUUACAAAAACAACAAACACGUUAGCAUUAGAGAAAUUAACCUCACAACUCUUCACACCUUCAUUUACCUCACACUUGGAUCACAAAUCUUGAAAGAUGGUUUGUACUCCGUGUGGUAGUCGAGGUCUCAAGUGCUACUCUUUAUUAGAUUGAAUUCUUAUUUGAAAUACUCAAAUUAAUGUGUAAGGUUUGAUCAAGAACUAACAAUAAAAUGAAAAAGACAAAAGCUUGAAAGAAAUAUGACGAUGAAAGAAUUCAAAUGCUAGAACUAAUCAACCAACUUAGUAGAUAAAUAACUAGUUUUUGAGUAGUUUUAAGAAUCAAGAAAUGAGUUUGAGAAUUAAGAAAUGAAACUAUAUGAAUCAAACCUGAGAAAAAGUGGAAUCAGAGAGUUUGAAAUGUAUUUUGGAGGCUUGAGAUGCAUUGGAAUGACUCGAUCUGCAUUUUGGGGACCUAGUCUAGCAGGUUGGGUGCAUGUAUAGCAUACCCUAGAUGCAGGAGUGCCUUGGCUUACUGGUUGGAUCUGCUUUUGGGUUGCUGCAGUAGCUUCAAUGCAGACAUAGGGUAGAUGGGGCACAGAUCAACCGCCCAAUCCAUUUGAAAUGCCAUUUUUAACCCUCUAGUGGUCCCACUUGUACUCUUCUCUUGCCAUAUUCUUGGAACCUUUGGAGAUGCUUUAGUACAAACAUUUUUUCACUCUUUUUCUUUCUAUUUUUGGAUCAAACACUCAUUAUUUGCCGAAUUUUCAACAUGAAGAUAGCAAUUUUUCCAUGAAUACCAAGAAUACCAACUUUUUCAAUUUCCUUACCUUAGCUCGGAAUGAGUUGAAAUUUUGAAUCUAGUCACUUUUAAAUCUUCUAAACUCAUUCCAAACAUAUAUUAUCUCAAAUUAUUUACCAAAAUUUUCAUCUCUUGCAACCACUUCAAAUUUCUUUAAACCCAAGCUUUCAUCAAAGGUAGAAUGUUCAAUAUAGCUCCGAUUUAGCUUAAAUUCAUUUUCUAGACUCCUAUAGUGUUUGAGAAUAGGAAUCUAACACUAGAAAUAAAAUAAAACACUAAAAUCAAGGACUCAAAUUUUGACCUAACCCUAAAAACGUGAAUAGUAAUUUUUCUUUGAUUUUCAAAUUUUCAAGACGACUAGACCCAAGUUUGACUUUGUGGGAACGAAAUCAAGUUUGGAUGUGAUACCAAAUAAUGAAGAUCAAUCUAUGAAAGUGAAAUAUUGACACAAAAGUAGAGAUAAUCGGUAAAGAUAGAAAUUAGACACAAAUAAGUAAUUAAGAACAAAAGAAUAUAUUAAACUCUAAUACCCUCAACUACAAUUUUAAUCAAAUACCUAAUUCUUAGGUGACCAAGAGGGAGAUAAUCGCCCUAAAAAACAACGUUUCUAAUCCAAGUUUCAAUAAAAGUUUACCAAUUAUCUAACUCAAUAGAGAAACAUUUAUCAAUAAUCAAGAUAAACUCAGAAAUAAUGUUGGGUCCCAAGUAUUUAAAGUUUAGGGCUAAUUAUUACACAUUUUGGGGUCAAAAAGUGACCUGAUUGUAAGAAAAAGCCCACACAAUCUGGUUGAGUGGAUUUGAAGUAGUUGAGGCGCAUCCCAGGGACACUAGGGACGGUUUUGACCUGCUCUUGAAAUGCUAGAGUAGGUAUAAGGAAAAUCCAAAGAACCUUGGGCGCAUGUCCAUCCCAAUGGGCUUUCUAGCCUCUUUUUGCAUUCCUUUGUCUCUUCCAAAGAUCCUUGACCCAAUGUGAGUACAAUCAUCAUCAAAUGACACCCUCUUGAUGGUAAAAAGACUUUUUUAAGUACAUCUCACUUCAUGAUUUAUCCUUGAAUCCUUUGAAGCUCUUUGGUUUGGCUUCUAGUAAAAUUCUUAGAUCUAAUCCAAAUUGUAUCAACCAUGAAAUCUAUAUUUAUUGCAUUAUAUAAAGAAGUGAAGAAAUUGAAUGACUCUAAAAUUUCUUAAAAGAUAUUCCUUAUUGCCCCAACUUUUGGUACCUGUAUGCAUGCACAGUGACAGUUAAGCUGUGAUAGGUAGGACAUGGAACAUGAUGUAUAACAAAAAAUUUUAUCAUAUAUGAAAAAAAUAUAAUACCAUUCGAAAACUACUCUCUAGUGAAAUUAUCACAAUUGACUAUGUGAGGUCAAAGAAUAACGUGUCUAAUCCAUUUACAAAAGUCCUAUCUAGAGAUGGAGUUGAGAGAUCAUCGAAAGGAAUGAGCUUAUGGUUAGGACAAUUCAUCACAGUGAUAACUCCACCUAGAAGAUUAAAGAUCUCAAGAACUAGAUUCAAGGAUAUCAAACAAAUUUGUGACUAAUGGUUUAACAUUGUCAAUUACUCAAUCCAUUCUCUUGAUGAAAAUAAUGUUCAUGAAACAAGAUAAGUCUUGUGGUGUGAAGUUUUUUAAUAGUUUUUAUGUUUGUCAUGUUUGACCACAUAGUUUGAUCUAUAGGAUUAAAUAUUUAGGAAUCACCUAAGUGAGGGUGAAGUGAAAGCUGCUUCAAGGAGAAUGUAGGAAAGGCCUAUUCUCUAAGCUCUCAGGAAAUCAGAAAAUGUUUUAGUUGAAAGGAACAAAAUUUUCAGAAUAAAAAAUAGUAAAAGGAUGAUCGUGUGACUUGUAUUGUCUAGGUAUACAUUAAAGUUUGAUAGUUCAAAGAUAUCGCAUCUACCGACUAACCGAGUGUAUUCGAUUAAAGCUCACUAUGGAAAGUUCAAAGGAAAACCUACUUAUCUAGAUGUACUUAGUCUUUACUUGUACAUCACACACUUGUCUAUAUAUUUCUUGAUAAAAUAGUCAUUUCCCAUUUUUAUUGGCGACUAUUACAUUUUUCAGAGGUGUAAUAAAAAAUGAAUAGGUGGUCUUCAAAAAGACAUCAAGAGAAAGGAUAAAAUUUGAAUAGUCAUCUUCUUAGUUUGGAUGGUUAUGACCUCUCCAAUGGGUUGCGACUUUUCUAAAGAGUUGCAUCUUUUCUGAAAAGUUGUACCUUUAUGAAGAGGUGCACCGUUCUGAAUUAUUGCAUCUCUUCAUGAAGCAACAUCUUGAUAGUUAUAAAUAUCUAAUUUUUUUCUCAGGUAAAUACAUAAAAUUUUGAUGUAAAAAAACUUUUUUUUUUUUGAAAAACUCUAGAGUGAUUUGCUUCCGUUGAGUAUGUUUGUAGUUCAACAGAGUUUGAGGUACCGCUAUUCUAUCGAAGUGAUUUAUUUUAUCCAGGGAACAUGUAUACCAUAACCUUGGGUAGUUGAGGGAAAUAAUUUUUUUAAGGACACACAGUGAAUUCGGUGAACUUGAAUCUUCCAUUAUUCAUCUCUUUUUAAACAUUUGAUUUUGCUAUUUUUCAGAAAAUAAUUUGAACUUUAUUUUCGGCUGUUCAUAAGUUGGGUUGAACUUAUUGUUAAAAGUUUAAAGUUGUGAAUAUAGAGUUACAAAUUCAUUUGAUUGCCAUACUUUAGUUUGAACAUGUGCUUGAAGUUUUUUUUGUAAAAUAUAGAUUUUACUAAACUCGAAAAACAAUAAAACUUGUGGUACAAAAUAAUCUAUAAAUAUUUGUGUGGUUUUAAACCAUUAUAUUAAAAGUAAAAGGUGGUCAAUUGUGAAGUUGAGGGUUUUCUUUAUAGUAACCUGACAUUCUUUUUGAGGUAAAUUAAAUAGGAAAUUGUUAGAGUUUUGACCCAAAUUUUGUUGAUCCAGCCCAAAAAGUUUCACAGUGCGACCCAUGUUUGUGAUUUUCAAUAGGGUCUAUGGUGGUAGCAUAGGGAUUGGGCCGAUAGGCCCAUGGACUUUUAUGUUUUUUGGGCCUAGGGCUUAUUUGUAUGCACACAUUAUAUAAGUGCAUUUGGUGGGCUUUUUUUGUGUAUCCAUAAAAUACUUAUUUUCCACAUUGUACUCCUCUCUUUUUAUUAUAAUGAAACAUCCUCUGCCUCUACCCGUGAUUUUUCCUGUAAGGGUUUUUACGUAAAUCUGUGUGUUCUGUUUUCUUUCUGCUUAUUAUUGCUUUAUUUCUGCCCGAUUCCUAACAAACUGGUAUCAAAGACUGUUUGAUUGUUUUCUCGAGGAUAGCAACCAUGAAGUAUGAUAUUCUGCUGUUGGAUUGCAACACCAGAUUUUUAUUACGACAGGUUGAGAUACGGGCUAUGCUUGCGCAGAUGGAUUUGGAUGAUGCUUUAUUAGGGUUUAAGAAGAUUCCCUUAUCGUGGACGGAUGAGGAUAAACGACGUUAGGAUCAGAAGGCUCUAUCUCAGAUCCACCUUCAUUAGAUUCUAUAGGAUAUUUUGAAGGAGACCACAACCGCUGCGUUGUGGUUGAAACUGGAAUCACUUUGUAUGAUGAAGAUCCUAACUAGUAAGUUGUAUCUCAAGUAAUGACUUUAUUCCUAUCGCAUGUUUGAGGGUGCGUCCUUGGAGGAUCAUCUAUCUAUAUUUAAGAAAAUGGUCUCUGAUUUAGAGACUCUGGAGGUUAAGUACGAUGAGGAAGAUCUAAUGUUGAUUUUUUUGUGUUUGUUGCCUGCAUCAUACACGAAAUUUAGGGAUACAAUUUUAUAUAGUCGUGAUAACCUGACUAUUGAUGAAGUUUAUGAUGCGUUGUUCUUUAAGGAGAAGAUAAAAUAUUUUGUGAAUGGUUCGAAGACUUAAGGAGAUAGUCUCAUUGUUCGAGAACGAAGUACUCAUGAGUGAAAUUCUGGGGGUGAUGACAGGAAUAGGUUAAAAUCUAAAAAUAGAAACAAACCUAUAAUUACUGCAAGAAGAAGGGCCAUAUCAAAUCUGAGUGUUGAAAGUUACAGAAUAGAGAGAAAAUAGAAGCUCCAAAACCUAAGGAAAACCAACCAGAGAAUUUUGGUAAAGCCAGUUUUAUGGAAGACGGUGGUAGUGAUGGAGAACUCUUGGCAGUUUCUGAUGGUAACUCGAAACUCUAUGAGGAUUGGAUUCUUAAUUCAGCUUGCACGUUUUAUAUAUAUCGUAAUCAGGAUUGGUUUGCAAUAUAUGAAACAAUCUCUAAAGGUGCUGUGUUGAUUGGAAAUAACAUACCUUAUUAGAUAGCUGGUAUUGUAACAAUCAGGAUCAAGAUAUUUGAUGGGGUUGUGUGGAUACUUGGUGAUGUAUGUCCCAGACCUAAAGAGAAAUCUUAUUUCCUUGAGUACCCUUGAUUCAAACGGUUAUUGGUACACUAGUGAAGGUGGUGUCCUGAAGGUUACUAAAGGUGCUCUUGUUGUGAUGAAGGGACAGAGAAAUUCUACAAAUUUGUAUGUCCUGCAAGGCUCUACUGUUAUAGGUGAUGUAACUAUUUUUACCUCCCAUCUCUCAAAAAUUAAUGUUGCUAAACUUUGUGCACUUGGGGCAUAUGAGUGAAAGCAGGAUGGAUGAACUAAGCAGGAGAGGACUUCUUGAUGGACAGAGUAUUACCAAAUUGGAGUUCUAUGAGUACUACAUUUUUGGGAAGCAAAAGAGAGUUAGAUUCACUAAAGGUAUUCACUCAACUAAGGGCACACUUGAUUACAUUCAUUCUGAUCUCUAGGGUCCUGCUAGAGUACUUUCUAGAGGAGGCACUAAUUACUUGUUGACUUAUAUUAAAAACUAUUCCAUAAAAGUUUGGGUGUUCUUUCUGAAGCAAAAAAUUCAUAUGUUGCCUACUUUCAAGAAGUGGAAGACUAUGAUUGAAAAGUAUAUAGGGAAGCAGGUAAAACGCCUUCGGACCAAUAAUGGUUUAGAGUUCUGUUCUAAUGAAUUUAAUUCUUUGUACAAGUCAGAAGGAAUUGUAAGGCACUCGAUAAUUUGUCAUACUUCGCAGCAGAAUGGUGUGGCCGAACGAAUGAAUAGGACUAUAAUAGAGAAGGUGCGUUGUAUGCUCUCUAAUGCUGGUUUACCCAAGUCUUUUUGGGCUGAAGAUGCUUUCACUUCUUGCCUUCUUAUUAACCGCUCCCCCUUAGUCGCGAUUGAUAAAUAGACUCCACAAAAGGUGUGGUCUGGUACUCUUACUAGUUAUUCUGAUUUGAGGAUAUUUAGAUGUCUUGUGUAUGCUCAUAUUGAUAAUGGAAAGUUGGAAUCUAGAUCUGUUUACUUAAUUAUGGAUUAUUAUCUUGGUGUUAAAGGUUAUAAGCUUUGGUGUCCAAAAGCAGGAAGGUUAUAAUUAGCAGGGAUGUUGUGUUUGAUGAAACUGCUAUGCUUCGGGCUCCUUUCGAAUCUAGUACUUUGCCCCCAGAUGAGCUUAGUGACAUGAAUCAGCAAAAAUCAAACACCCAUGUUGAAUUGCAGAUUGGAGUAGAGUCUAUCUAAGUGCCUACUUCUCAGUCUAGCUCGGAGAUACAUAGUGAUACUCUUUCUUCUUCAUCACCAGUAAAGAUAGGACUAGAAGAGAUAUAAGACCUUUUCAGAAGUAUGCUAAAGCUAAUUUGGUUGCUUAUGCAUUGAGUGUAGCAGAAGGUAUUGAUUUCAGUGAAGAUCCUUCUUCUUACUCAGAGGCAGUUAGUUAUGAUAAUUUCGAUCGAUAGAUAAUUUCUAUGUAGGAGGAGAUGGAAUCACUUCAUAAGAAUGGAACAUGGGAUCUGGUGAGAUUGCCUAAAGAUAAGAAAGUUUUCUGUUGCAAGUGGGUAUUCAAAAAGAAAGAAGGUACAUCUAGAGUUGAAGAUGCUAGGUACAAACCAAGACUAGUUUCUAAAGGUUAUAGCCAAGUUCCAAGUAUCGACUUUAUAGAUGUGUUUUCUCCAGUUGUAAAGCAUAGUUUGAUUCGAGCAUUGCUUGGUAUUAUGGCCAUCCAUAAUCUUGAGCUUGAGCAGUUGGAUGUCAAAAUUGCAUUUUUACAUGGAGAACUUGAGGAGGACAUCUAUAUGUAGCAACCAAAGGGCCUUGUAGUCUCAGGAAAGGAGGACUAUGUAUUCUUGCUAAAAAAGUCUUUUUAUGGCUUAAAGAAGUCGCCCAGGCAGUGGUAUAAGAGGUUUGACUCUUUUAUGACCUCUCAUAUGUUUCAGAGGAGAAACUAUGAUAGUUGUGUCUACUUAAAGGAAGUAAGUGAUGGUUUAUUCAUAUAUCUUCUCUUGUAUGUUGAUGAUAUGUUGAUUGCAGCAAAGGAUAUGAGAGAGAUAAUAAAAGUAAAAGUCCAACUUAGUAAGGAGUUUUAUAUAAAGGAUCUAGGAACAGCAAAGAAGAUUCUUGGCAUAAAGAUUCUGAGGGAUAAAAAGAAUUGUAAGUUGUACUUGAGUCAGAAAGGAUAUAUUGAAAAAGUUCUUCACAGGUUUAAUAUGCAAAAUGCCAUACUUGUAAGUACUAUAUUGGUAGCUCACUUCAAACUCUUGGUCACUUUAUCUCCAAAAAUAGAUGAUGAGUGUGACUAUAUGUCCUGAGUUUCAUACUCUAGUGCUGUUGGGUCUCUUAUGUAUGGGAUGAUGUGUUCCCGAUCAGGUUUAUCUUAUGCCAUCAGUGCAGUUAGAAGAUACAUGGCAAGUCCUGGAAAAGAAUAUUGGAAAGCAUUUCCGUGGAUUUUUAGAUACUUGCAUAAAUAUGCUGAUGUUUGUUUGCAGCUUGGGCGAAAUAGAGAUGGAGUAAUCGGGUAUGCUGAAUCUAAUUUUGCUGGAGAUCCUGAUAAAAGGAGAUCCCUUACAGGCUAUGUUUUCACCAUUGGUGGUUGUGCUAUUAGUUUGAAAGCUACCUUACAGACUACAGUUGCUUUGUCAAAUACUAAGGCAGAGUAUAUGGCUAUUACAGAGGUUUUUAAGAAAGCUAUUUGGUUGAAGGGUCUGUUUGGUGAACUCAACAAAGACUUACAAAUUACUGUUGUCUUUUACGACAGUCAUAGUUCUAUCUUCCUUACGAAAGAUUAGAUAUUUUAUGAGGGGACAAAGCACAUCGAUGUUCGGUAUCAUUUUGUGUGUGAAAUUAUUGCUCAUGGUGAUAUUGUGGUGAGCAAGAUUAAUACUCAUGAUAAUCCUGCUGAUAUGAUUACCAAGACACUACCAAGUGCCAAGUUUGAGCAUUGCUUGGACUUGGUUAGUGUUAGCUGUUAAGAUGUUCCAUUAGGGGCUUUUGUGGAAGAGUUGUGCUAUUAGUUUGAAAGCUACCUUACAGACUACAGUUGCUUUGUCAAAUACUAAGGCAGAGUAUAUGGCUAUUACAGAGGUUUUUAAGAAAGCUAUUUGGUUGAAGGGUCUGUUUGGUGAACUCAACAAAGACUUACAAAUUACUGUUGUCUUUUACGACAGUCAUAGUUCUAUCUUCCUUACGAAAGAUUAGAUAUUUUAUGAGGGGACAAAGCACAUCGAUGUUCGGUAUCAUUUUGUGUGUGAAAUUAUUGCUCAUGGUGAUAUUGUGGUGAGCAAGAUUAAUACUCAUGAUAAUCCUGCUGAUAUGAUUACCAAGACACUACCAAGUGCCAAGUUUGAGCAUUGCUUGGACUUGGUUAGUGUUAGCUGUUAAGAUGUUCCAUUAGGGGCUUUUGUGGAAGAGGUGAAAAGUUUGUCUUGAAAUGGAUUUGAGUUCUGAAUUAGAAUUCGCGUCAAGGUGGAGAUUGUUAGAGUUGGGACCCAAAUUUUGUUGAUCCGGCCUAGAAAGUUUCGCGGUGUAACUCAUGUUUGUGAUUCUUAAUGGGGUUUGUGGUGGUAGCAUAGGGAUCGGGUUGAUAGGCCCGUAGACCUUUAUGUUUUUUGGCCCUAGGACUUAUUUGUAUGCACAUAUUAUAUAAGUGCAUUUAGUGGGUUGUUUUGUGUAUCCAGAAAAUACUCAUUCUCCACAUUGUACUCUUCUCCUUUCAUUAUAGUGAAAAAUCCUCUGCCUUUGCCCGUGGCUUUUUCCGCAAGGGUUUCCAUGUAAAUCUGUGUGUUCUUGUUUUCUUUCUACUCGUGGUUUGCUUUAUUUCUGCCCUAUUCCUAACAGAAAUGAUGCCACAUAAAAUGAGACGGAAGGAGUGAGUUUGCUACAUUGUCGUAUCUUAUAUAUAAGUUCGGAUAGAAAAAAGAAGAAUUUCAGCGAGUGAACAAUAGCAUAAGAUCAUUCAAUUUGUAGUGAAUCUAAAUUGAGACAUAUUUAAAUGAGUGACGAUAACAAUAAAGAUUUAUAUGUACUCGAUUUCAAUUUGUUUUAAGAUUGAGCUGAGGUAAUAAUUAUCAUUGUUGAUGUGGAAAAUACCUCACAACUUGUAAUGUUUAUUAAAUUUGUGCUUCUCUACACUCCUUUGAUAUUUAUUCGAUGUAGAUCACUAAAGGAUUAUAUAUUGUUUGUAUUUUGGUUACUUCUUUUUUCUAGACUAUUAUUUAUUGAGUCGAGGGGUUAUUAGAAACAAUCUCUCUAUUUUGAAAAUAGAGAUAAGAUAUAUGUACAUUCUAACCUCCACAUAUCUCACAUUGUUGGAUUAAAUUGAGUAUGUUAUUAUUAUUAUAGUAGAGUACUGGAGAGAACAAUUAUUUAGGAAAAUUUUCUUUUAUUAGUCCUUAAGAAGAAAAGUUGAAAUAUUUUUGUUAUUAAUACAAAAUCAAUAAGUUAGUUUGUGAAUCCAUGUGAAAUUUUGACGUGCGUGUACCGUAAGUACUGCGUUUGAUCUAGUGAUUUUUUUUUUUCUUUAACAAAAAAACCUGCAAAUAAACAUAAAUAUAUAAACAAAGGAAGGUAAAAUACUUUUUACACAAGAAUGGAGUAGCAAGUUGGUGGAAUUCUUACAUGGCCCUAAUUCUUUUCUUAACUUCAUGUCACUAUAUAUUUCUAGUGGAUCCUCAAAAGUACUUUUGUACGUUUUCACAUUCAAAAUUUUAAGACGAAAUUCCUUUUAAAAAAGAAACUAAUAAGUAAUACUAACUUUCAAUUAUGCACAAACAUUUUUGUUGUUGUUGUUAGAGUACUAUUCUUAAUAAUUAUAUCAGGAUUUUGAAAUUGAGACCUAAGAAACCAGCCAAAAAAGAAAUUAAGAAUGUUCUAGUUUUCGGUAUUCAUAAGAUUUAAUAAAAAUAAUAUAAGUAUAUUUUUAUACAUGUAUGUAUAUUGGGAGAAUACUCACAAAAAUACCUGAGGUUUGACCGGAUUACCAGUUGAGCAUAUUGAACUUUGCGGGGGAGGGGGGGUCCUAUUACCCACCUAUACUUUUUCAAGUGGAAUUAAUUUCCCCCAGACUUUUUUAAAGUGAAAUUAAUUCCCCCCGAAACGUUAUACCCAGUUUUGACGGUAGGAAGUGUAGUACACAAACUCUUUCUUCUCCAUUUUAUCACUUUUCAACAUUUUUCAUCAUUACAACCAUAUUAAAGAUUCCACAACUCAAAUUCCUCUUACAAAUCAAAUUCCAAAUGAUUCCAAUGAGUCAAUUUCAAAUUUCAAGUCCAUUCUUAUAAUCUUGUUCACCAUUUUUUUCACCAAAUCGAACUAAAUAAAUAAAAUUUGAAGAAAUGGAGUCUUCAAUAAUUGGUACUAGCAGUACAUGGCAUUUCAAUAAUUGACUUCAAUAAUUGAAAACUUCAAUAAUUUCAAUGGGAGAAUACUCACAACAAUUGAAGAAAGUUGAAAUUGAACAACUGAAGAAUUCCGGAAUAAAGUUGUUCAAUUGUUGAAUUGAAGACUUCCGGAAGACCCCAUAAUUGAAAUUGAACAAUUCAAGACUUCCAGAAAUUUUUUUAAUGAAGUUACUUUCGGAAUUAAACAAUAGUACUAGAAAUACAAGUGGAGUACCAAUCAAAAUAAAAUUGACUUCCGGAAGUGUAGUACGUUAUAGACUUCAAUUGUUGAAGACUUCAAUUGACAACGGAGAAGUCAAUUAUUGAAGACUUCAAUAAUUUCAAUUGAAAAUUGACUUCGAUAAUUGAAGAAAGUUUUCAAUUGUAGAAGUUAAUUACUACUCCUAAAUAAUUGACUUUAACAAUGGAGUCUUCAACGAAAAUGUAAUACAUUGUUCAAUUUCAAUUCAAUAAUGGACCAACCAUUGUUGAAAACUCCAUCGUUGAAGAGAGAAGAGAGAAGAGAGAAGAGAGAAGAGAAAUAAUGAAAAAAUAACUAAAAAAUAUAAAACUUUUACAAAUUAGAAAAUUGAGGGGCGGUUUGGUAAAAAAAAGGUUUAUAGCAUUUUUCAACACUUUCACGCGCUCAAUACGCGUGACUUACACGCAAUGGUCCAAGUGGGAAGAUAUAUGCCAUUAAAAUAAAAAAAGUCUGGGGGUGGGGGAUAAUAGGACCCCUGCAAAAUUCAAUAUGCUCAACUGAUAAUCCGAUCAAACUUCAGAUAUUUUUGUGAGUAUUCUCCCUAUGUAUAUUUGUCACUUAUUAAUUACAAGGUGAAAAAUAAAUAUUUUUUUUGGCAACUAAAACUCACUACUAAGCUAAUCAACAGAUCAUCUCCACCAACAACCUCAAAGUUAGCCAAUAUAAUCAAAGAUUUUAGGAUUGGUUCAAACUCUAAUGCAUAGCAUUAAUUUAAGUCCUCGAAUUAGCUCGUCCAAUUCAGUGCUUGUUUUCUGAAAAAUUGAAAAAUCCUUAUACUUCUCUCUAUCCAAAUAGCAUGCAUAAUUACUGCCAGGCUAGCUUUCAAAAUCACCUCUCGUGUGUGUAGUACCCUUGUUCUUUUCUCCAUCCAUUUUCGCAUAUUCUCCCAAUCUUUCCAGCUUUUCUGCAUCUAUAUAACAUUUCAAAAGACCAGUCACAACACAUUGAAAGAGCAAAUAAUUUAUGGUUUUAAGAUGUGUCUGAUAGAAAACACAAAUAGUAUCCAGAUUGAUGCUCCACUUCCAAAGUUUGUCCUUAGUCAUGAUCUUACCAUGCAUACUCACACAACAUAAAUACAUUCUUAGGCUCUACAUUAUUAUGGCAAAUCAGUUUAGUCCAGGGAAUAUUAUCAACUUUACUUGCGAUUGUCUCGUAGGCUUUAGCUAUCAUGAACUUUCUUUUGAUAACUAUCUAAGUGAUAUCUCCCAAGCAAUAGAGUGAUGUACCUAAUCAAUCCACAACCUAAUAACUAUCUAAGAUGUUCUGCCUUAUAAUAGAGUGAUGUACCCAAGCAAUCCACAACCUAAUCUUAUGUUUACUGGGAGCCCAUAACAUCUUACAUAUUGCUGCUGUAUUCUAUAUUUGGAGAUUGGUUAAGUUAAGACCUCUUACCCUCCUCAGUUGACAAAUUUUCUUCUAAGCCACAAGAUUUUUCUUGGUAAUUGCCACAUCUCCUGCCCAAAGAUAACUCCUGCAAGUAGUUUCUACAAGCUUAAUAACCUUCUUAGGCAUUAAGAAUAAUUGGGACCAAUAAGUUUGAACACCAAAAAGUACAAAUCGUAUGAGCUGCAACCUCCCUGCAUAAUACAAGCUCCUAGCCAUCUAAGAUGUUAUUUUAGAUGUAUUUUUUUCUACUGGAUGUUUGUAUUGUUGCACAAAAAGCCUCUUGGUAGAAAAAAGCACCCCUAAAUAUUUAAAUUGAAGUUCUCCUUUAUCAUACUUUAGUGCUUGCAAGAUUUGUUAUUGUCAUUUGGUUUCACACAAAAAAAUACUUGACUUUUAGCCAUAUUAGCUUUCAAACCAGAGGCUGUACAGAACAUAUCAAAUCAUCUCUUUAGGCAUAAGAGUGAACUUAGAACACAUCUAGAAAAUAGUAAUAAGUGAUUUCCAAAACAUAGGUGAGUAAUAAUCUGUUUCUUACAUCUAGAAUGAUAGGAAAAAGUUUUAUUUUUCAACCCCUUUAAGUAACUAUUAAGAUACUCCAUAACCAACCAAAAUGUGUCAGGAGACAUAGGAUCCAUUGUUUCAAUCCCUCGUCUAGAUUUUAUAGUAUCCAUUAUUUGUCCAUUGUCAAGAAACGUAUAGCUCAUUAUUUAUAUACACUUGAUGCUCCAGUUAGUCAUUUUAUGUGGAAAGCCUAAUUCAUGCAAAACUUGCUCAAUAAAACUCCAUUCCAAAGAGUCAUUGGCCGUUUGAGGUCUACUUUUAUCAUGCAUCUGGAAGAGAUUUAUUUUCUAGUAUAACCCUUGAUUAGCUAAUGACUUAGCACAAUAUUAUUAGUGGUGAGUCUACCAGGUACAAAAGCAGAUUGGCUAUGCCCCAUUACAUCUUUGACAUAUUUUGAAAUCUACCAAUAAUAACCUUAGAUAUGAUCACAUAAAGAAUAGUGCAGCAUGGUAUAGGUCUAAAAUAUUUCAUGAUUUCAGGUUGAUAUAUCCAUGGUACUAGGGUUACAACAGUGUUAUUCAUGGCUUUUAAGAUUUGAUUCUUCUCCACAAAAAACUCCUUUAUGAUCCAACUGUUAUUUACAACAUUUUUGGGUACAAGAAUCUGUAUAUACAUAAAACAAUAACUUCAACACAAGUUCAAGCCUAAGACUAGAACACUUAUGAAGUUCCUUAACACCUCCAACACAAGAUUAUAAAUAAUCUAUGCAAGCAGUAUGUUAACUUUCAGAAAUGAGAUGAAACAGAAUUUUAAGGAAAAGUCCCCCGAAUUCACGGAGUGUCCUUAAGGAAUAAUUCUCCUCACUGUACCCGAGGUUAUGGAAUCUUCCCGUCCUUCAAUCCAAACAAUAGAGGUAUCUUAAAUUAUUAGAUUCUCCGAACUCACUCAACAACUUAAUGAUCACACAGAGUUUUUGUAUUGAAGAAAAGUGUUUUUGCUAUAAAAAAUUACUCUAAUACUUGAGGAUUAUAUCAGGUAUUUAUAGCCUUUAAUGUAUCUUUAUAUAAAAGAUAUAUUGGUGUUCAGCAGAAAGGCACCUUUUUAGCAGCAGUCACGUCCCUGCGCCCAGUAUGUGCUGGACAUACGCCUGUUCUACGGUCACAGGUAACGUUUGGCAUAUUCCAGUAGAUUCUGCACUAUAUUUGCGCCCACAUGUCAAGUACCUACACUGCGUCUGUGCCCGCAGUUCAUCCUACAAUGCAAAAUAGUGUGCCUUUUCCCUCAAAGGGUCGCAUCCCUUCGUGAUGAGUUGUGUAUGUGUCUGCAGGGCAUAAAAAUAUGCCCGCACUUGGAAAAAAAUAAUACUAUCAGAUUUUGGAUUAAAAAUUUCACUUGUAAACAAGUUUCAAACAAAUUUUAUCUAAAAAAUUAGAUCUCACUGAUCAAUCAUUUGAUGAAUCCAAAUUCGAAGUCGAAGACGAAGUUGAGUUGAGGGAGUGACAGCGACGACGGUGCGAGGUACUACCUUGUUCUAGCCUCACUAUCCAUGUGGAGUUAGUAUUUCACAUUAUAAGUGGAUCCGGCACAUUAUCCUUUGACUUUACAUAGUCAAUAGUGAUAAUUCCACUAGAAAGAAGUUCUCUAAUAGAAAUAUGUCUCCGUCUUAUGUGACGAGAUUUGUCAUUGUAUAUCAUGCUCUCUUCCCUACUUAUUUUCGCUUAGCUAUCAUAGUGUAUACAUACUGGUGCCACUGGUUUGGGUCAAUAAGGAAUAUCUUCCAAGAAAUUUUAGAGUAAUUUUGCUUCUUCACCGGCUUUAUCUAAUGUGAUAAAUUCAGAUUUCUUUGUAGAGCGAGCAAUACAAGUCUGUUUGGAUGAUUUCCAAGAGACUGCUCCUCCACCGAUAGUAAAUAAAUAUCCACUCAUGGAUUUUACUUCGUUCGAUCUAGUGAUCCAAUUUGCAUCACUAUAUCCUUCAUGUACAGCAGGAUAUUUAUUAUAAUGCAAAAUGUAUUCUUGAGUGUAUUUAAGAUACCCCAAAACUCUUUUCAUUGCCACCCAAUAAGUUUUAUUAGGAUUACUUAUGUACCGACUCAACUUACUUAUAGUGCAUGCUAUAUCUGGUCGUGUACAGUUCAUUAUAUACAUUAAACAUCCCAAUACUCUCGCGUACUCCAAUUGUGAGUCACUUUCACCUUCAUUCUUUCGAAGUGAAAAGCUCACAUCCAAUAGAGUCUUGGCAAUACUAAAUUCCAUAUACUUGAAUUUUUCAAGUACCUUUUCAUUGCAAUGAGACUAUGACAAUGCCAAACCUUGUGGAGUUCUAUGGAUUUUUAUUCCUAAGAUCACAUCCGCAACUCCAAGGCCUUUCAUAUCGAACAUGCUCUCGAGCAUUCAUUUCAUUGCAUUUAUGUUAGAAAUGUCUCUACUGAUGAUCAACAUAUCAUCCCCAUACAAACAUAUAAUGACUUGGUGAUUUGGAGUGUCUUUAAUGUAAACACAUUUAUCACAUUCAUUUAUCUUGAACCCGUUUGCCAACAUGGUUUGGUCAAACUUUGUAUGUCAUUGUUUAGGUGCUUGUUUUAGUUUAUAAAGUGACGUAACAUGUUUACACACCUUAUUUUCCAUUCCUGGAACCACAAAAUCCUCAGGCUAUUCCAUGUAGAUUUCUUCCUCUAAUUCUCCAUUUAGGAAUGCUGUUUUCACAUCCAUUUGAUAGAUUUAAAAACAAUAUAUUGCCGCUAAGGAAAUUAACUUCUGAAUUGACGUUAUCCUCAUUACUGGUGAGUAUGUAUCAAAGUAAUCAAAGCCUUUCUUUUGUUUGAAGCCUUUUACAACAAGUCUUUCCUUCUACUUAUCAAUAGUACCAUCAACUUUCAUUUUCCUUUGGAACAUCCAUUUAGAGCCUGAAGGUUUAUUUCCUGGUGGAAGAUCAACCAACUCCUAAGUAUGGUUUCUUAAGAUUGAAUCAAUCUCACUAUCGACGGCCUCAUUCCAAAAUGAUGAUUCCAAAGAUGCCAUCACUUCCUUAAACAUUUGAGGCUCAUUUUCUAAGAGAAACAUUACAAAAUCUGAUCCAAAAGAAGUUGACAUUCUUUGAUGUGUUUGUAUCUUGCAUUCUCAUCAUUAUGUACAUUCUGACUUAGUUCAUCUCAAGGUCGUUUAGACCCUUCACUAGACUGUCCAUGUCUAGUUUUUAUGGGUAAAUGUUUUCAAAGAAUUCAACAUUAUCUGAUUCAAUUACCGUAUUUUCAUUGAUAUCCAGAUGUUCAGAUUUAUGAACCAAAAACUGACAUGCUUUACUAUUUUUAGCAUAUCCUAUGAACACGCAGUCCACCAUCCUUGGUCCUAUCUUAACUUUUUUAGGCAUAGAAACUUGGACCUUUGCUAGACACCCCACACUUUGAAAUAUUUCAAGUUGGGUUUCCUUUCUUUCUAUUUUUCAUAAGGAAUUGAUUGUGUCUUAAUAUAGGGAACUCUAUUGAGUAUUCAAUAUGCUGUAAGGAUAGCCUCCCCCCACAAGAUUUGCAGUAAACCUGAACUUAUAAGUAAGGUAUUUAUCAUUUCCUUCAAAGUUAAUUUUUUUCUUUUCAUAAUUCCAUUAGAUUGAGGUGAAUACGGGGCUGUAGUUUGAUGGAUAUUUCCAUUCUCUACACAUAUUUCGGAGAAGGAAGAUUCAUAUUCUCCGCCCCUAUUACUUCUUAUUAUUUUUAUAUUUUUCUCUAACUAAACUUCAACUUUAGAUUUGUAUUGCCUAAACACAUCUAUUGAUUCAUCCUUACUAUUUAACAAAAAGACAUUACAAUAUCUCAUGCAAUCAUUGAUAAAGUUAAGAAAUACUUUUUCCCACCACGUGAUGGUGUUGACUUCAUAUCACAAAUGUCUGUGUGUUUUAAGUCUAAGGGAUUGGAAUUCCUUUUAACGGACUUAUAAGGAUGCUUUGCAUACUUUGAUUCCACUCAUAUUUGACACUUUAAUUUAUUGCACUCAAAGUUUAGCAAAACUUCUAAGUUAAUCAGUUUUCAUAAUGUUUUGUAAUAAACAUGGACAAAUCGUUCACUGCACAAAUUGUAAGACUCAAGAAAGUAAGAAUAAAUUAAACUUUUAUUGAUUUAAACAUUAAUUACAUUCAUUUUGAAUAGGCCCUCAUUGAGGUAACCUUUUCCUACAUACACUUCUCCUUUACUAAGUAUAAUUUUUCUGAAAAUAAAUACACAUUUGAAUCCAUUCAUGUCUAGAAGCAAAACUGAAAUCAAGUUAUUUCGUAAUUCCGAAACAUACAAGACAUUAUUAAGUGUCAACAUUUUGCCGGAAGUCAUCUUCAAGCACACUUUUCCUGUUCCUUCAACAUUUACAAUAGUGGAGUUUGCGAUGUAGAUCUUUUCUUCUACUUGAGCUAGAGCGAAUGUUGAAAAAACCUUUUUUUAGCACAAACAUAGCGGGUGGAACCAAAAUCCAUUCACCAUUCACGAGGAUUUCCUACCAUGUUGCAUUCGAAAAUCAUAGCACACAGAUCAUGAAUUUCUUCUGUGCUAGACAAUUCAUAGACUUAUGGACAAUCUUGCCACAGUUGAAACACUUUUCCUUGAAUUUUUUCUUGGGUUGAUUGCUUUCAUUCCUAGCUUUCUUUCACUUUUUAGAGUUGUUUUGGUCAUCUUCUACAAUGUUUGCUCCAUUCAUUUCAGUAUUGCCUCUUGACUUUCUUUCUGCAGCCUUAUUAUCUUGUUUAAUACACAGUCAUACAAUCAGAUCUUUGACAGACAUAUCCUUACAUUUGUGUUUCAAUGAGUUCUUGAAGUCUUUCCACAAAGGUGGUAGUUUCUCUAUUAUUGCUUCUACUUGAAUUGCCUCAUUCACGAAGUGAAUAUUAAGACUGUUUUUAAAUGGUUCAACAGAGGUAUUUGUCAAAAUUAUACCUUCCGUAAGGAGAUCAUGGAUGAUCACUUGCAGUUCCUGCACUUGGGAAACAACAGACUUGUUGUCUACUAUUUUAUACUCCAGGAAUCUUGAAACAAAGAACUUUUUAGGUCCUGCAUCCUCCAUCUUGUACUUUCAUUCUAGCUCUCCCCAUAAUUCUUAUGAUGUCUUUGUUUUACUAUACAUAUUAUAAAGGUUAUCUUGGAGACAACUCAAGAUGUAAUUCCUGCAAAGGAAAUCUUAGUGUUUCCAAGCCUCCACAAUCACGAAGUGAUCUUUUUUAGAGGUUCCCUUGGGAGCCUCUAGAGCUUUCUAAACUGUGAACCUUUGAAAACAGAGAGUGAUGAGGUAGAAGAACAUUUUCUACUGCCAUCUCUUAAAGUCAAUACUCGCGAACUUUUCAAGUUUCUCCACUGGUGUAAUUGCCGGCGGAGCAUUCGUGUGACUUAUUGUGGCAGUACUAGUUGCCCCCACAGUCAUUGCAGUGUCUUGCAUUUGACUAUCAUUAGUCAUUUUCCUGUCACAACAAGACAGUACCUUUAGUAUAUCAAAAUACUUAUUACAAAGUUGUAGAAACUUUAAACACUUCUUGUUUCUAGUUUAACGAUGAAGUUUUUAUGACUUCCAAUCGUCAACCGCAUGAUCUUUAACUUGUGAUUAACAUUUUAUGUCUUCAAAUCACUAGUUAAGUUCAAACGGAGUAGAAAGCUUAAGCUUUAAUCUCCAAAAACAAGCUAUACAGAUUCUGAAAUAAUUAUUCCUUAAGAUUGUUAUUUAUAAUGUUUUUGGGUACAAGAAUCUAUAUAUACAUGCAACAAUAACUUCAACACAAGUUUAAGCCUAAGACUAGAACACUUAUGAAGUUCCUUAAUACCUUCAACACAAGAUUAUAAACAAUUUAUCCAAGAAGUAUGUUAACUUUCAGAAAUGAGAUGAAACAGAUUUUUAAGGCCAAGCCCCCAACUCCACGGUGUGUCCUUAAGGAAUAAUUCCCCUCACUAUACUCUAGGUUAUGGAAUCAUUCUCCCAGGAUAAAAUGGACUUCAAUCCGAACAAUAGCAGUACCUCAAAUUUUUGGAUUCUUCGAACUCACUCAACAACUUAAUGAUCAUACAAAAUUUUUUUAUAGAAGAAGAGUGUUUUUGCUGUCAAAAAUUAUUCUAAUAGGCCUUAACUUAAUAUUCUCUUUGAAGCAGCUUGUACUUUACCCCCACAUAGGUGAUUUCUAAAUGUUUAAUCCUAUAGAUUAAAAUAUUUGGUCAAAUCUGCCAAAUUUAGAUAAUCAUUAAAAGACUUUUCACCUUAAGUCUUAUCCUUGUUUACUAAAAUUGUCUACAUAAUAAGAAUGGGUUCGGUAUUAACAAUUUUGAACCUGUCAGACAGAACUCUGUUUGAUCUCUUUGAACCUAGAUCUUAGGGUAUCAAGUCUUCUAGGUAGAGUUACCACUAUGCUGACUUGUCCUAGGCCUUAAACCCAAUCCCUUUGAUAUUCUCUCAACUCCUUCUCUAGAUAGGCCUUCUAUAAGUAGAUCUGACAUAUUAUCCUUUGACUUUACAUAGUCAACAAUGAUAUUUCCACUAGACAGAAGUUCUCUAACGAUAUUAUGUCUCCAUCUUAUGUGAUAAGAUUUGCCAUUGUACAUCAUGCUCCCUUUCCUAUCUAUUGUCGCUUGGAUAUCACAGUGUAUACAUACUUGUGCCACUGGUUUGGGCCAAUAAGGAACAUCUUCCAAGAAAUUCUGGAGCCAUUUUGCUUUUUCACCGGCUUUAUCUAAUGUGAUAAGUUUAGAUUCCAUUAUAGAGCGAGCAAUACAAGUCUGUUUGGAUGAUUUCAAAGAGACUGCUCCUCCAUCGAUAGUAAAUGCAUAUCCACUCAUCGAUUUUACUUCGUUCGAUCUGGUGAUCCAAUUUGCAUCACUAUAUCCUUCAAGUAUCGUGGGAUAUUUAUUAUAAUGCAAAGCAUAUUCUUGAGUAAAUUUAAGAUACCCCAAAACUCUUUUUAUUGCCAUCAAAUGAGUUUUAUUUGGAUUACUCGUGCACUUAUAGUGUAUGCUAUGUCAAGUUGUCUACUGUUUAUUAUAUUUAUUAAACAUCCCAAUACUCUUGCGUACUUCAAUUAUGAGUCACUUUCACCUUCAUUCUUUUGAAGUGCAAAGCUCACAUUCAAUGGAGUUUUGGUAAUUUUCAAGUAGCUUUUUGAUGUAAUGAGACUGUGACAAUGCCAAACCUUGUGGAUUUCUAUGGAUUCUUAUUCCUAAGAUCACAUCCACAACUCCAAGGUCUUUCAUAUCAAACAUGCUCUCGAGCAUUUAUUUCAUUGCAUUUAUGUCAGAAAUUUAUCUACUGAUGAUCAACAUAUCAUCCACAUACAAAUACACAAUGACUUGGUAAUUUAGAGUGUCUUUAAUGUAAACACAUUUAUCACAUUCAUUUAUCUUGAACUCGUUUGCCAAUAUGGUUUGGUCAAACUUUUCAUGCCAUUGUUUAGGUGCUUGUUUUAGUCCAUAAAGUGACUUAACAAGUUUACACGCCUUAUUUUUCUUUCUUGGACCGAAGAACCCUUAGGCCGUUCCAUGCAAAUUUCUUCCUCCAAUUCUACGUUUAGGAAUGCUAUUUUCACAUCCACUUGAUAGAUUUCAAGACCAUAUACUGCCGCUAAGGAAAUUAUCUUCUGAAUUAACGUUAUCCUCAUUACUGGUAAGUAUGUAUCAAAGUAAUCAAGGCCUUCCUUUUGUUUGAAUACUUUUACUACAAGUAUUGCCUUGUGCUUAUUAAUAGUACCAUCAACUUUCAUUUUCCUUUUGAAGAUUCAUUUAGAACCUAAAGGUUUAUUUCCUGGUGGAAGUUUAACCAAUUCCCACAUAUGGUUGCUUAAUAUUGAAUCAAUCUCACUACGACUACCUCUUCCCAAAAUGAUGAGCUCGAAGACGCUAUCGCUUUCUUAAAUGUUUGAGGCUCAUUUUCUAAGAGAAACGUUACAAAAUCCGAUCCAAAUAAAGUUGAUGUUCUUUGUAUGUACUGCAUUUUGGAUUAUCAUCAUUAUGUGCAUUCUCACUUAUUUCAUCUAGGUCGUUUAGACCCUUCACUAGACUGUUCAUGUCUAGUUUUAUAUGGAUAAAUGUUUUCAAAGAAUUCAAGAUUAUCUGAUUUAAUUACCAUAUUUUCAUUAAUAUCCAUAUGUUCAGAUUUAUGAACCCAAAACCGAUAUGCUUUACUACUUGUAGCAUAUCCUAUGAACAUGUAGUCUAUCGUCUUAGGUCCUAUCUUAACCCUUUUAGGUAUAGGAACUUGGACCUUUGCUAGACACCCCUACACUUUGAAAUAUUUCAAGUUGGGUUUCCUUCCUUUCUAUUUUUCAUAAGGAAUUGAUUGUGUUUUAAUAUAGGAAAAUCUAUUGAGUAUUCGGUUGGCUGUAAGAUAGUAUCCCCUACAAGCUUUGCUGUAAACCUGAACUUAUAAGUAAGACAUUCAUCAUUUCCUUCAAAGUUUAUUUUUUUCCUUUCCACAAUUCCAUUAGAUUGAGGUGAAUAUGAGGCCGUAGUUUGAUGGACAAUUCUAUUAUCUAGACAUAUUCCAUCGAAGUGAGAUUCAUUUUCGCCGACCCUAUCACUUCUUAUCAUUUUUAUCUUUUUCUCUAACUAAUUUUCAACUUCAGUUUUGUAUUUCCUAAAUACAUCUAUUGCUUCAUCCUUACUAUUUAACAAAUAGACAAAACAAUAUCUCAUGCAAUCAUCGAUAAAAGUUAUGAAAUACUUUUUCCCACCACGUGAUGGUGUUGACUUCAUAUAAUGUCCUGUGUAUUAUGUCUAAGGGAUUGGAAUUCCUUUCAACGGACUUAUAAGGAUGCUUUUCGUACUUUGAUUCCACAUACGUUUUACACUUUGAUUUAUUGCACUCAAAGUUUGGAAAAAGUUCUAAGUUAAUCAAUUUUUGUAAUGUUUUGUAAUUAACAUGGCCUAAACGUUCAUGCCACAAAUUGUAACACUCAAGCAAGUAAGAAGAAAUUGAAAUUUUAUUGAUUUCAACAUUCAUUACAUUCAUUUUGAAUAGGUCCUCAUUGAGGUAGCCUUUUCCUACAUACACUUCUCCUUUACUAAGUACAAUCUUUUUUGAAAAAAAUACACAUUUGAAUCCGUUCUAGUCUAAAAGUGAAACUGAAAUCAAGUUCUUCCGUAACUCCAGAACAUACAAGACAUUAUUAAUUUUCAACACUUUGUUGGAAGUCAUCUUCAAGCACACUUUUCUGUUCUUUCUACUUUUGCAAUAGUGAAGUUUGCCAUGUAGAUCUUUUCUUUUACUUGAGUCGGAGGAAACAUUGAAAACAACUCCUUUUUAGCACAAACUUCGCGGGUGGCACUAGAAUCCAUUCACCAUUCACGAGGAUUUCCCACCAUGUUUCAUUUGGAAAGCAUAACAGACAAAUCAUACAUUUCUUUCAUAGACUUAGCCAAAUUUGCUUAGUCCUUCUCCUUCCCUUUCUUCGGAGCACGACAAUCCAUAGACUUAUGGGCAAUCUUGCCAUAGUUGAAGUACUUUCCCUUGAAUUUCUUCUUGGGUUGAUUGCUUUUAUUUCCAACAUUCUUUCAAUUUUUAGAGUUGCUUUGGUCAUCUUCUACAAUAUUUGCUCCAUUCAUUACAGAAUUACCUCUUGACCUUCUUUUCCCAAACUUAUUAUCUUCUUAAAUGUGUAGUUAUACAAUCAGAUCUUUGACUGGCAUCUCCGUACGUUUGUGUUUCAAAUAGUUCUUGAAGUCUUUCGACAAAGGUGGUAGCUUCUCUAUUAUUGCUGCUACUUGAAAUUCCUCAUUCACGAUCAGACCUUUAAGAAAGGUUAAGUUAAUAUUAAUACCAUUUUUAAAUGGUUCAACAAAGGUAUUUGUUAAAAUUAUACCUUCCGUAAGGAGAUCACGGAUGAUCACUUGCAGUUCUUGCACUUGGGAAACAACAGACUUGUUGUCUACCAUUUUAUUCUCCAGAAAUCUUGCAACAAAGAACUUUUUAGUUCCUGCAUCCUCCGUCUUGUACUUUCGUUCUAGCACUCCGCAUAACUCUUUCGAUCUCUUUGUUCCACUGUACAUAUUAUAAAGGUCAUCUUGGAGACCACUCAAGAUGUAAUUCCUGCAAAGGAAAUCUGAGUGUUUCCAAGCCUCCACAGUCAUGAAGCAAUAUUUUUUAGAGGUUCUAUCAGGCACCUCCGAAGUUUUCUCAACUGUGAACCUUUAAAGACAGAGAUUGAUGAGGUAGAAGAACAUUUUCUACUGCCAUCUCUUAAAGUCAAUACCCACAAAAUUUUUAGGUUUUUCUGCUGGUUCCAUCGCUAGUAGAGCAUUCGUGCAACUUAUUAUGGCAAUACUAGUUGCCCCCACAGUCAUUGCAGUGUCUUGCAUCUGACUGUCAUUAGUCAUUUUCCUGUCACAACAUGACAGUACCUUUAGUAUAUCGAAAUACUUAUUACAAAGUUGUAGCAACUUUAAACACUUCUUGUUUCUAGUUUAACGAUAAAGUUUUUAUGACUUCCAAUCAUCAACCGAGUAAUCUUUAACUUGUGAUGAAGAUUUUAUGUCUUCAAAUCACUAGUUAAGUUCAAAUGGAGUAGAAAGCUUAUGGCUUUAAUCUCCAAAAACAAGCUAUAGAGAUUCCAAAAUAAUUAUUCCUUAAGAUUGUUAUUUACAAUGUUUUCGGGUACAAGAAUCUGUAUAUACAUGAAACAAUAACUUCAACACAAGUUCAAGCCUAAGACUAGAAUACUUAUGAAGUUCCUUAACACCUUCAACACAAGAUUAUAAACAAUCUAUCAAAGAAGUAUGUUAACUUUCAGAAAUGAGAUGAAACAGAAUUUUAAGGCCAAGUCUCCCGACUCCAUGUAGUGUCCUUAAGGAAUAAUUCCCCUCACUGUACCCGAGGUUAUGGAAUCUUUCUCCCAGGAUAAAAUGACCUUCAAUCCGAACAAUAGUGGUACCUCAUAUUGUUGGAUUCUUCGAACUCACUCAACAACUUAAUGAACACACAAUUUUUUUGUAUAGAAGAAAAAUGUUUUUGCCAUAAAAAUUAUUCUAAUACCUGAGGAUUAUAUCAGGCAUUUAUAUCCUUUAUUGUAUCCUUUUAGUAAUGAUGUAUUGGUUUAGCAGAAAGGCACCUUUUCAGUAGCAGUCACGUCCUUGUGCCCAGUCUGUGCUAGACAUAAGCCUGUUUUGUGACUGCAGGUGACAUUUGGCAUAUUCCAGUUGCUUCUGUGCUACAGCUGAGACCACAGGUCGUAUACCUACACUCUGCGCUUGUAGGUCACCCUACAACAUAAAAUAAUAUGCCUUUUCCUUUGAAUGGUCACAUCCCUUCAUGAUGAAUUGUGUAUGUGUCUGCAUGGCGUUUAAAAUACGCCCAUACUUGGAGAAAAAUAAUACCUUCAGAUUUUGGAUUAAAAAUUUCACUUGUAAAUAAUUUUCAAAUAAAUUUUAUCUAAAAACAUAGAUCUCAUCGAUCGAUCAUUUGAUAAAUCCAAAUCCAAAGCUGAAGUCGAAGUCGAGCCGAGUGACUGACGAUGAUGAUGGUGCGAGAAACCACCUUGAUAUUGCCUCACUAUCCAUGUGGAGUUAGUGUUUCUCAUUAUAAACACUUAUAAGUUCUCUUCUACCGCCAAUGUGAGAGAAUUAGUGAACUUCCCUUUUAAAAGAGUAGACUUUCCAAUUUGAGAGUACACUUUCUAAAUUGGUAUCUCUUUUCUCUCCACUAUUUUUCCUCCAUUUUCCAUUUAGAUAUACACCUUGAACCCACUAACUAAUGUCAUAUUUAAUAAUGGUCCAUGCCUUCUUGAAAAACCAAGUUGUAAAACGUUCAAUACUUGGUGUUUUAUCACCAUCAAUACUAAAGACAACAUCAUGAACUUCCUUUUCUGUAAUUGGUCUGCACAUAUGUAACACCUUAGAAAUUCAAGCUAAGAUUAGAACAUGUAUGAUCCAACAUCAUGUUUUAAUGGAAUGGUAAGUGAUUUAGAAAUGCAUUCACGCCACAAGUAACUCCUAGCUCUUGGCCAAGUUAAAACCUGCCUUACUAAUUAAUUGCUUGAGAAGUAUCUUUUGAUAGUUAGCUUCAAAUAAGAAUAACUUAUAGAUUGUAAAUUUUAUUUAAGCUCAAAACCCACCAAAUGAUAUAUAUUUUAAUUAUCUUUUCAAAGAAUCCAAUUUUGACUUAAUACGAUAUAGGAGUAAAAUGUUAUAGCUAUUUUAGUGAAACACUAUCCUAAAGUGAGAAGCUAUGACCAUAGGUAAGAUCUUAGUGAGAUUGUACAACCGUACAAUGCUCUCAUCUGAUCCAAAAAGCCCCAAAAAUCUGAAAGUUAACGAGUAUACUUUCUUAACCAUGAGAACCACCUACGGUAGUAGGUGGGUCCACGAUGGUGGAAAUGUCUAGUACGUGCCUUCGAACAACUUUCUAAUUAUGAAUUUAAAAGGGCACAUCAUUUUUUUGCACUCUUUUAACAUCAAAACUAUGUUGUUUAAGUUAUUCUAGGGCUGAUUAUUAAGGUUAAUAUUAACUUAAUCCCUCAUUACUCAAAAAAACAUCCAACACUUAGUUUUAACAUAGAGAAAAGAGGUGAUUUCUUUCCCCAAGAUAGGGUUAUGGUUCAUCUUAUUUAGGCUUCCAAUUUCAAUGAUUUCUUUAGGGUUUUAAUCUCUAGGUAUGUGGGAUUUUAUAAAUGGAUUUUCUUUCACCCAUUGAGUCCCAAAGUUAACUAAAUUCCUCAGUUUAGUUCCUCUUCAAAGCUUAGGGUUCAUAAAUGUAGUGAAUUUCUUGAUAUCUCAGUCCCUUGAUAUUAUUGAGUUGUAAUCCAUGUUUUACAAUGAAUUUUAGUACCAUUACAUGUUCAUGAUCAUAAAUCCUAAUUAUAUUAUGAAAUAUAUGAUUUUGGUCUUGAGUUAUUAAAUUUUUUAAAUUCACCCAGUUUAUGAAAUUAUGAUAAUAGUUGCAUUCUUCUUAGAUGGUGGGUUGCGAACACCUGAUGACCUAGGGUAUCAUACAUUAUCAGUUGAACAUUUAUUCUUUCAGUCUUUAUGAUUUAGAAUACUUCCAGGUAAAUCAUCUGCCUUUCAAUUUCAAAAUAUCAAUAUUAUUGAGGAUUUCAGUAUAUCAGUUUACUUUCAGUUAGGAGUAGUACUUAGCAUAAAGAGGACACGAAUUCUUAUUACCCAAGUCCUAAAACUGCAGUGCCACUGCAGGUUGAAAUUAUUGUCCUUUGGAUAUUAUAUUAGUGGAUCCAUAUCAACCCGUGUUCAUACACUUGGCAUGGUACUAAACACCCAUCCACCUGGGGUUACUAGUCGGGCCCUAUUGAGCUCAGAAGGGGUUUGCCGGUUAAUAGUAGCUCCCACAGUUCAGUGUUAGUCCUCACAUGACCAUAUAUUUAGUUAUUUUUGUAAAUUAUAUUGUUUUUCAUAAUAAUUAUCGGGUUAUUGCAUCAGCCUACAAAUUUUAGUUCAUGUUCAGCUUCUCACGUUAUUUUCAGCAUUCUUAGUUAACAUAGUGUGGUGUAUAUCUCACAUGUUCAGUACAUUCAAAGUUCUGAUUGCAUACUUCUCUUUGUGAUUUAUUAUCUUAUAAUACAGGUUUAGAUGUUCAACAACCAUACCAAGCAUGGAAUGACCCCCACCAUAUCAACAGUUAUACAUCGGUGAGUACUCAUCAUUCGAGUACUAGUAUCAGUAUUUUAUUUAUUUUUAAUUAUUAUUUUAGUUUCAUAAAGUUAGAGUUAGCUUGGGGAUUGUCCUUGCAACUUAUUUUAUUUAAAGGCUUUCGUACAGUUAAAUUGUAACACCCUAAACUUUUAUAGCUUGAAUUCAUGCCAAAAAUAUCAAGGAUUAGCUUCUAAAGUGAAUGAUAAUAAUUUCGUGUGAAAUUUUCCUGAUUUAGAUCUCUCAUUGUGUGGUAAAUUUAAUAAGUUUUCCAACGAUAUAAGAUUCGCUCAAAUCCAAUAACUGGGUAAGAAAUUAUAACUAUUUUAAAUUUCAGUCAUGAAACACCGUCAUUUCGGUCACUAGCGCGUCGUGUAGAGGGUUUAAAUGAUGAUUGUCAAUUUUCAGUGGCCCUCCGUGAUAUUGGCACAUCGCGGAGAGGGCCAAUUUACCUUUUGUCAAUUUCCAGAGGUCCAACGUGAUAAUGGCGCGUUGCGCUAUGUGCCAAAAUGACAUUCCAAAUGGACACUAUGAUGGCUCCAUGCCACGAAGUCUUCCCAUUUUUCAUUUGUUAAUUUCUAGUGAGCCACCGUGAUAGUGGCGCAUCGCAGUGGCCACUCAGUUGAAAAAAUAUGCGUUAAUCAGUCUGUUUAAUAUUUAAAAAGGGGUACUUUGCUCAUUCUCCCAACCCCUAAUCCAUCUUAAACAGUGAAUUAAACCCCUUCAAAGCACUUUACAUUCACUUUUCGUCAAAUUUCUCUCAAGAAAAACCCUAGUUCAUCAAACUUUAUCCCCAAUAAAUCCAAAUUCAUCCAUUUAUUUCUCCAAAGAAAUUCAAGAUUGAGGAUUCCCAACACAAGAUCUCUAAGAAUUUAUCAUCAAAUCAUCAAUAGGAAUUCAAGAUUCAAGUUUUUCAUCAAAGAUCACCAAUUAAAGUAUAUGGGGUUAUGAACAAGUAUACUCCUUUCAUCCUUGUGCCCUAAACUUAUUUUAAUUACAAAUUUACUGAAACUUAUUUUAAUUACAAAUUUACUGAAUUUUAUAUGAGUUUUCAUGAAAUUGAAGUUAGGGUUUAUACCCAUUAAUGUUGUUUACAAGCUUAUGAGAUUUCCAAUGAUUUAGAAGUUGAAUUACAUGAUUAUAUUCAUAUUUUCAUGCAUAUUGCUGAAAUUUCCAGAUUUUAAGUUGAGUUAUGAAUGUUUACAUUACCAAGCAUGAAUAUUAUGAUAUUUUAACAUGAGAUUGAAGCAUAGAUUAUUUUCCUAAGAUUGAUUUUAUGUAUUUAAGAAAGAUGAUGCUUUAAGCAUCUUAUGAGCAGAUUAUUUAUAGUUUUCCAGUAAAGCUAUUCUAUUCAUGAUGUAUCAUCUUCAGAUUAAAGUAUUGUGACUCACAAGCAUUGUAUUGCAUGUUUUACUAUUCAUGAUGUAUCAUUUUCAUGUUUCAGAUUUACUCAAUCCUAUGUGAGUCAUUUACAUUUAGCAUGAAUAAUUUUAUAAAUUGUGAUGACAUUGUUUACUUAUUGUAUUCACCCCCAUAUACUCAGUACAUCCUCAAAGUACUAAUCCAUAUAUACUUCUAUGUGCUACAUUUUCUAAUAAUGUAGGUUCAGGUGCUCAGCCAUAGCAGUGAGACUAAUUUUUGAGCAUCUAAUCUACAUCUCUGCAGUUGGUGAGUCCUCAUAGUUUAGGGACUUAGCUAUUCAUGUUUUUAGUUUAUUAAUACAUAUUUCUGUAUUUAUUUCAGAUAGUUUGAGUUAGCUGGGGCUUGUCCCAGUGACUCUCUGGAUUUAGUCAGUAGAGGCUUGUCAGACUACUAGAUUCAGUUUUAGAUCUUAGUUACAGUAUUCUGAUUUUCAGUAAUUGCUUUAUUAGACUUUUGAGAUUAGUAUGAUUCAAAUAUACCCAGAUAAUUCAGAUAAUUUCUACAUUAAUUAUGAUUUUUCAUUCAUACCUUCCCGAAUUCGAGAUUGAGAUUUAGAAAAGGCAACCAGGGUUAGCUCAGAACUACUUGUAGUUCGGAGCACCGUGUGGCAUUCUAUGGUAUUACCUAGAGUCUUGAUCAUCGGUGUGAAGUGCAUCAUAUCUAUAAGCAAGAGGCUAUGGAGCAUUUUAGGAAAUCAUCUCUUCUUUCAUGAUCUAUCAUGUAUUCAGUAUCUCUAUUUGCUGCUAACUUGUGCUUUCACAUGAUAGAAAAUGCCUCCUCAUUGAGCUAAUUCACAUGAAAUGAUAACCAGUCACCUCAUCCCACAGAUCCUUUGAAUGAGAAUAUGUCACAUGUAGAGUUUCGGGUUGCCUUUCAGGUGCUAGCCUAUGCUGUGACAACUAACAUAUAGGGUAAUCGGUAGGCUGCAGUCCUACCUCAACAAGAUGGGGACUUACCCAUAUCCAAAAUUUAAUAUUUUAUGAAGAUGAAUUCGCCAGAGUUCUUUGGGUCGAAGGUAGGUAAGGACCCAUAACUUUAUCUAGAUGAGGUAAAUAAGAUCGACCAAAUUAUGCAUGUUUUUUAUGAAGAGAGUGUAGAAUUAGAAUCCUAUAGGCCGAAAGAUAUUACUUAUGAUUGGGUAGUGAUGUGGAAGAAGAGUAGAGGGAAGAAUGUAGCUCUCAUGACUUGGCAGAUUUUUUAGGAUUCAUUUCUAGAUAAGUUCUUCCCACGUUAGAUUAGAAAAGCUAAGAUAGAAGAGUUCAUAAACCUGAGGAAAGGCUCAAUGACAGUGAAACAGUAUUGCCUCAGGUUCAAUCAGUUGUCUAAGUAUGCCCUUGAUUAGAUGGCUGACCCUAGGUCAAGUAUGGGUAAGUUUGUGACCGGUGUUUUUGGGUUGGUAGUUAAGGAGUGUAGGACUACUAUUCUCAUUGGAGACAUGGAUCUCCCUAUAUUGAUGAUGCAUGCCCAGCAGAUUGAGACAAAAAAAUAAAGGAAAGAGAGAGUAAAUAAGAAGGAUAGAAUAGGAAAGCUUGAUUAUGGUCAGAAUAGGUCUGGAGGAGGAAAUCAUUCGCAGUUUUAAAACCGUUCAUCUAUGCAUGCACCUUCUUCAACCAGUACUCUGCCACCCAGAAAUAGACAAGAACAGUUGGGUAAGUCCUCUCUGUCCAGAUCUCAAAAUAGUAUGAGUGGCCGGCCCAGCUAUCCUUGGUGUGCUAGGUAUGGUAAAAAUUAUCCUGGUGAGUGUUUAGCUGGAUGGAGGGGUUGCUAUAGUUGUAGCUAGCCGGGUUAUGGAAUCAAAGAGUGCCCGCUUUCUAAACAGAAAAACAAGGAUGCUUGUCCUCACACUCAGGCUACUACUGCACCAGCUCCUUUAGGUCGCCUAGCUCCUCCUCAGGCCGCAUCAUCCAGUACUGGUGGUGGUCAGUACCAAAAUCAGUUUUAUGACUUACCAUCCCUCUAGGAGUUCACUGUACAUUGUUACUAGUAUGCAUUGUGUCUUCUAUUUUGAUGUUUAUGUGUUGUUAGACCCUGGGUUGAGUUUCUCUUAUGUGACCCCACUAGUUGCUGUGAAUUUUGAGAUAAAUCUUAAAAAGAUCCCUAAGCCCUUCUUGGUUUCUACUCCAGUAGGUGAGUCAGUUGUUGCUAAACAAAUCUAUAAGACGUGUCCUAUCACUGUCCUUCAUAAAGUCAUGUUAGCAGACUUAAUAGAGUUAGAUAUGGUUGAUUUUGAUCUUAUCCUUGGUAUGGAUUGGCUCUAUUGCUAUUAUGCCUCUAUAAAUUAUUGCACCCGUGUGGUGAAGUUUCAGUUCCUAGAUGAGCUAGUCUUCGAGUGGUGAGGUAAUUCAGUGUCUCCCAAGAGUCAUUUAAUAUCUUAUCUUAAGCCAGAAAGUUGAUAUCCGAAGGUUGCAUUUACCAACUAGUUCGAGUCAAAGACACUAUGUCUGAGACUCCAACACUUUAGUCUGUUCGAGUGGUCAGUGAAUUUCCUAAAGUUUUUCCAGAAGAUCUUCCAAGGGUACCUCUCAAUAGGGAAAUAAAAUUUGGUAUUGUCCUUCUCCUAGAUACUCAGCCUAUUUUUAUCCCUCUAUAUCAUAUGGCUCCAAUAGAUCUUAAGGAGUUGAAAGAGCAACUUAAAGAUCUUUUAGAUAAAGGUUUCAUAAGGCCUAGUGUUUCUCUAUGGACCCCUCUUAUCCUAUUUGUGCAAAAGAAAGAUAGUUCUUUGCGAAUGUGCAUUGACUAUCAUCAGCUAAAUAAGGUCACAAUCAAGAACAAAUCCCUAUUCCUAGAAUUGAUGACUUGUUUGACCAACUCCAAGGUGCAAUUUAUUUCUCAAAGAUAGACCUUAGAUCCUGCUAUCAUCAGCUUAAAGUAAGGGAGUGUGACAUUCCAAAGACAGCCUUUAGAACCCGUUCUGGUUGUUUUGAGUUUCUAGUCAUGUCCUUCGGUCUAACAAAUGCUCUAACAGUUUUUAUGGACCUCAUAAACCGAGUGUUCAAAUAGUAUCUAGACAUGUUUGUCAUAGUAUUCAUAGAUGAUAUCCUUGUAUACUCCCGUAGUGAGGAUGACAAUGUAGAUCAUCUUAGAAUUGUCUUAUAAAGUCUUAGAGAUCAUUAAUUGUUCGCUAAAUUCAGCAAGUGUGAAUUCUGGCUAAGAUUAGUAGCCUUUCUAGGUCAUAUUAUUUCCACCGAUGGUAUUAGAGUUGAUCCCCAAAAGACAUAAGCCGUAAGAAAUUAGCCUAGACCUAUCUCUUUGUCAGACAUUAGAAGUUUCUUGGGUCUAGCUGGUUAUUAAAGAUAUUUUGUUGAGGGUUCUUGUCUAUUGUAUCCCCUAUGUCUAGAUUGACCCAAAAGAAAGUUAAGUUACAGUGGUCAGAUUCCUUUGAGAAGAGUUUUCAGGAGUUGAAGAUUCGACUCACUACAACCCCAAUCUUAGCAUUACCUGAUAGUACAGAUGGUUUUGUGGUGUAUUGUGAUGGCUCUAGAGUUGGUUUGGGUUAUGUACUGAUACAGAGAGGUAAGGUCAUAGCCUAUGCCUCUAGACAACUUAAGCCUCAUGAAAAGAAUUACCUAACCCAUGAUGUUGAAUUAGCUAUUAUGGAAUUUGCAUUGAAAAUCUGGAGACACUAUCUAAAUGGUGUAUAUAUUGAUGUGUUCACGGACCACAAGAGUUUGCAGUAUGUGUUUACCCAGAGAGAGUUGAAUCUUUGUCAGAGGAGAUGGUUCUAAUUGUUGAAGGAUUAUGUCAUGAGCAUGUUAUAUCAUCCUGGAAAGGCUAAUGUAGUGGAUAGUCUAUGGGUACCCAUGUGGAUAAUAAUAAGAAAACCUAGCGCGAGAAGUUCAUCGUUUGGAUAGAUUGGGUGUUAGGUUAGUUGAUUCAGCUGAAGGGAAUGCUUGGGUUCAGAGUAGUUCCAAAUCUUUCCUAGUUUCGGAUGUUAAGGGGAAGAAAAAUAUGGAUUCUAGUUUGGUAAAACUAAAAGAGUCAGUGAGAGACCAAAGGAUAGAGGUUUUCUCCUAAGGGGGAGAUGUCGUGUUGAGAUACCAGAGUAGAUUGUGUGUGCUAUGUUUGAUGAGUUGAGACAGUGGAUUAUGGUUGAAGCUCAUCGUACACAUUAUUCUAUUCAUCCAGGUGCUACCAAGAUGUACCACGACUUGCGGGAAAUCUAUUGGUGGAAUGGUGUGAAGAGAGAUAUUACAGAGUUCAUAGCUAAAUAUGCAACUUGUCAACAGGUUAAGGUAGAACACCAAAGACCUGGUGGUACAUUGUAAGAGUUUGGUAUCCCUACUUGGAAGUGGGAAGAAGUGAAUAUGGAUUUUGUGUCUAGUUUACCCCAUUCAUGUCGUCAGCAUGAUUCGAUUUGGUUUAUUAUAGACAGGCUGACUAAAUCAACCCAUUUUUUACCAGUUCACAUAUCCUAUACAACGGAAGAUUAUGCUAAGUUGUACGUCAGAGAGUUGGUCAGAUUGCAUGGAGUUCCCUUGGCUAUCAUCUCAGACAGGGGUACUCAAUUUACUUCAUAAUUUUGGAGAGCCUUUCAGAAGGGUCUUGGUACCCAAGUCCAUCUUAGUUUAGCUUUUCACUCUCAAAUAGAUGGUCAAGCAGAGAGGACCAUCCAAACUCUAGGAGACAUGUUGAGGGCAGGUGCUCUUGAUUUCAAAUGUAGUUGGGAUGAGCAGUUGUCGUUGAUUGAGUUCGCUUAUAAUAACAGUUACUAUUCUAGCAUUCAGAUGGCCCUGUUUAAGGCUAUUUACGGGAGGAGAUAUAGAUCAUCCACAAGUUGGUUUGAAGUAGGUGAGGUCGCUUUGCUUGGACCUGAUGCAGUAUUUGAAGUUGUGGAGAAAAUUAAGUUGAUUAGAGAAAGAUUAAAAAUAGCCCAGAGUCAUCAGAAAUCAUAUGAAGAUGUGAGAAAAAGGGACCUCGAGUUUGAUUUUGGUGAUUUAGUGUAUCUGAAGAUUUCACCCAUGAAAGGGGUGGAGAGAUUUGGCGAGAAGGGGAAGCUUAGUCCCCGGUAUGUUGGCCCUUAUAGAAUUCUAAGUCGUGUUGGGAAAGUGGCUUAUGAGUUUGAUUUGCCCGCAAACUUGUACGCCAUUCAUCUUUUAUUUCACGUCUCUAUGCUUAAGAAGUGCAUCGGUGAAUUCACCAUUGUAGUUUCUUUAGAAAGCUCAGAUAUCCAUAACAUCCUCUCAUACGAAGAGACUCCGGUUGAGAUUUUAGAUCAUCAGAUCCGUAGACUAAGGAACAAAGAAGUUUCUUUGGUCAAAGGUCUUUGGCAGAAUCAGUCAGUUGAGGGCGCUACUCGGGAAACAGAAGUAGAUAUGUGAGCCAAGUAUCCUCACCUCUUCUCCGCAAACUCAAAUUUAGACGAAGGUAAUAAUCUUCCUUAAUUCAGUUAUUUUCUAAUCUCAUAUUCAGCUAUAUAGCUAUUUUUGUGUGAACUCAUGCACUUAUAGAUCAGUUUAGUAAGCUCAUUAUGUUGAGAAUCAGUCAUUUAGUUAAUUCAGUUGUGCAUGAUAACUUAUAGCCCCAGAUUUCCCCAAUAUUCUCAACUUAACCAGCCACAUCCGAGGACGAAUAUUCCCAAGGGGGAGAUAUUAUAAUACCCUAAACAUUUCUAGAUUAAAUUCGUCCCAAUAAUGUCAAGGAUUAGACCUCCCAUUGUGUAAAAAAUUUAAUAAGCUUUCCAAAGAUAUAAGAUUCGCUCAAAUCCCAUAAUCGGGUAAGAAGUUAUGGCUAUUUUAAGUUCCAAUUGCAAAACACCAUCAUUUCGGUCACUAGCGCGUCGCAUAGAGGGUUUAAAUGACGAUUGUCAAUUUCCAGUGGCCCUCGGUGACAUUGGCGCAUCACGGAGAGGGUCAAUUUCCCAUUCGUCAAUUUGUAGAGGUCCAGCGCGAUAAUGACGCGUUGCGCCAUUUGCCAAAAUGGCAUUCCAAAGGGACACCGUAAUGGCUCCGCGCUGCGGAGUCUGCCCAGUUUUUAUUUGUUAAUAUCCAGUGAGCCACGACGAUAGUGGCGCAUCGCGGUGGCCACCCAGUUUGAAAAAAUAUGCGUUAUUCAGUCCUUUUAAUAAUUAAAUAGGGGUACUUUGGUUAUUCUCCCAGCCCCCAAUCCGUCUUAAACAGUGAAUUAAACCCCUUUGAAGCACUUUACAUCCACUUUUCGUCAAAUCUCUCUCAAUAAAAACUCUAGUUCAUCAAACUUUCUCCCUAGGGAAUUCAAAUUCCUCCAUUUAUUUCUCCAAAGAAAUUCAAGAUUGAGGAUUCCUAACACAAGGGCUCUAAGAAUUUAUCAUCAAAGCAUUAAUAGGAAUCCAAGAUUCAAGUUUUUCAUAAAAGAUCACCAAUUAAGGUAUGUGGGGUUAUGAACAAGUAUACUCCUUUCAUCCUUUUGACCAAAACUUAUUUUAAUUAUGAAUUUACUGAAUUUUAUAUGAGUUUCCAUAAAAUUGAAGUUAGGGUUUAUACCCAUUAAUGUUGUUUACAAGCUUAUGAGAUUUCCAAUGAUUUAGAAGUUGAAUUACAUGAUUAUGUUCAUAUUUUCAUACAUAUUGCUGAAAUUUCCAGAUUUUAAGUUGAGUUAUGAAUGUUUUCAUUACCAAGCAUGAAUAUUAUGAUGUUUAACAUGAGAUUCAAGCAUGAAUUAUUUUCCCAAGAUUGAUUUUAUGUUUUUAAGAAAGAUGAUGCUUUAAGCAUCUUAUGAGUAGAUUAUUUAUAGUUUUUCAGUAAAGCUUUAAUCUUUCGAUCACUGGUUUAGCUUUGGAAUCUACUUUACAGAUUAUUAUAGUUUACAGAACUCAGAUUAGCUUUAUUUAUAGAUUUACUCAUAUAAAUGCAUAAUUUGAUUUUUCAUAUGAACCUUUAUGCUAGUUUUAAAAAAAAUGGAUUUCCAAUGUUUUGAGCAUGUAUAUUUUAAGAGGGAGUAGUAUUUAGCACCAAGCAGGAAGUGUGUGAUUAGCGUGUCCUAUCAUCCACAGAACUACGUAGCCAACGUAGGUAUAGAUUAUCAUAUUUUCCCAUUUUUAUAUGGAUGACAGAUUUAGCUUGUGAUCGAUCACCUGGAUUAGGUUAUACUGCUGGCAAAAGUAUGACACCUCUCCCCAACGUGAGGUUUCUUCCUUAGGUUCUCAAGACGUUGGACUCCAUGUAGCUCACAUGGUUUAUGUCGGUUCACUACAAAAAAAAACUGAAAAAUCGACCACACAUUGUGGUCGGAAAAAACCGACCACAAGUUGUCGGUUUUUUAAUUUUUUUCUUAAAAAAAGCGACCCCAUGUGGUCGCUUUUAUAUUUUAAAAAAUCAAAAUAAUUAUUUCAAUAAUUUUUAUAUUAAUACUUAUUUAUUUUAAAAAUAAAAAUUAAAAAAAAAAAACAAAAUCGACCACUAGUGGUAGUUUUUUUUAAAAAAUAUAAUUAAAAAAUAUUUUUAAAUUUAUUUUUAAAAAAACCGACCACUAGUGGUAGGUUUUAAUUUUUUUAAAAAAGAAAAUUGGUCGAUUUUUUAAUUAAAAUAAAAAAAUAAUUUAAAAAAACGGACCACUAGUGGUCGAUUUUUGAACUAAAAAAAAUUUAAAAGUAAAUAAUUUUUAGUAACCAAUAAUUAUAUAUAUGUAAUCAAAUAUAUAUAUUAUUUUCAUUAAAAAUAAUUAUAUAUNNNNNNNNNNNNNNNNNNNNNNNNNNNNNNNNNNNNNNNNNNNNNNNNNNNNNNNNNNNNNNNNNNNNNNNNNNNNNNNNNNNNNNNNNNNNNNNNNNNNNNNNNNNNNNNNNNNNNNNNNNNNNNNNNNNNNNNNNNNNNNNNNNNNNNNNNNNNNNNNNNNNNNNNNNNNNNNNNNNNNNNNNNNNNNNNNNNNNNNNNNNNNNNNNNNNNNNNNNNNNNNNNNNNNNNNNNNNNNNNNNNNNNNNNNNNNNNNNNNNNUACUAUUUUUGUCAUAAGAAUGUAAUAUAUAACCGAUAAUUCAUUAGAAUAUAAUGAACGUGUUCUAUUAUAAGGUAAUAUACUUGUGGAUGUGAUAUAUAUAUACGCAUUCAAGAGUUCGUAUAUAUACAACAACAACAACAACAAACCCAGUGUAUUCCCACAGUGUGUGGUCUGGGGAGGGUAAGAUGUACGCAGUCCAUACCGCUACCUCCGAAGAAGUAGAGAGAUUAUUUCUGAUAGACCUCUGGCUCAAGAUAAAGAAUAAUAAACAAGGGAAUGGAUGACAUAACCGAAAUAAAAAAAUAGGAAAUAAUAGAAUAAAAUCACAGAAAUAUGAAAUAUGGGAAAUAAGAGCAACACGAAAUAAGAAAAUAGGAACUAAGCAAUAGAAAAUAGGGCACCCACCUAGUAGUGACAUACACUCACAUACCAAAGACACCUAUGUACAUUGUCCGAUGAUUACUAAAUCCGGCUACACCAGAACUCUCCUGACUGCUAGCUAUAACCUACACACUAACACUAGCCUUCUACCUUAAUCCUAGACCUCCACACCUUUUUAUCUAUGGUCAUGUCCUCAGUAAGAUGAAGGUGAUCCAUGUCAUGUCUAAUCACCUCUCUCCAGUAUUUCUUCAGCCUUUCUCUUCUCCUCCUGAAUCUAUCCAACGCUAUUCUCUCACACCUCCGAAUCGAGGUAUCCGUGCCCCUCCUCAUCACAUGCCCAAACCAUCUCAGCCUUUCUUUCAUCAUCUUAUCCUCCACCUAAUCUACUCCCUCCUUAUCCUGGAUAAUCUCAUUCCUAACUCUGUCCCCUUUAGUAAGCCCACACAUCCAACGCAACAUUCUCAUUUUCGCCACCUUCAAUUUUUGGACGUGAAGAUACUUAACUGGCCAACACUCUGUCCCAUACAAAAUUUCAUAUAUAUGAAUAUAUAUAUAUAUCAUGUCAUGAUCGAUUGAUGAACGAUGCAGUCAAAACCUAGCAUAUUAAGCUAAUCAAAUAUAAUUAAUGGAUCACUUAUCUGAGUAUUUAUUAGAAACACAUCGCCUUAUAUUAUUGGAUAAUAUACUUGUGUAGGUAUGUUAUAUAUAUAUAGUACGUAUUUAGAAUUUGAUAAAGUCGAUAGGGUAUGUACAUGUGUGUGUAUGUAUAUAUAUAGUAUAUAAUAUUAUAUAGUGAAGGUAUAUUAAUGACUAAAGAUAAUGUAAUCUAUAAUUCAUCUGAGUAUUUGUGAAAUAUGUUGGAUAUUAUUAUGGGGUAGUAAAAUCGUGUAUGUGAUAUUUAUAGUAUGUAUGUGAAAGCUGAUAGACAAUUGAAUAUAUGUAUAUAUACGUAUAUCUCGUGUAGUGAAGUAUGUAGUAAUCGAAAGCUAGAUAACUGAAUUUAUAUAUCAAAAUAGUUUAAAUGAUACGUUGAUAUAUAUAUAUAUAUAUAUAUCAUAUAAUUGAGGAAGUAGAUAUACUAUUUUGGGUUAAUGUAGACACGCGUAUAUUGUUGAAGUUGUAAUAACAUAAGAGUAGUAUUACGAGGUGUAUAUAUAUAUAUACAAUAUUGUAUUUAAAAGCUAAUUAACCAAAAACUUAUCGUAAUUUAUAAAAUUCAUUGAUAUUAUUAUAUGAUUGAGGAAAUAUACUACUCGUGUUAAUGUGAUGAUAAAAUAACUACUUAUAUGAUUUAUAUAUAUAUGAAUUGUAUUAAAUUAAUUUGAUGUUGUCCAGUUCUCAUACACAGUUUUUGUACUGUGUAUUUAUAUAUAUACGAACUGUAUUAAAUUAAUUGAAUGUUGUUAUAAAUAUUAUAGAAUUUAUUACAAUUUUAAUUUGUUAAAAAAUAAUUUUAAUUUGUUAACUUAUUUUUGUAAUUUAUUAGUUUAUUAAUUGUAUUUUGUUGAAGUCUAAUUUCAAAAAUAUUUUUUUAAAUAUUACGAAAACUGACCACAUGUGGUCGGUUUUCAAAACUAACCGACCACUCUGUAAUUAUUUUUGAAAACCAACCACAUGUGGUCGAUUUUUGUAAUAUUUUUUUAAAAAAAAUUUGAAUAACCCGACCCGACCCAUAAGACAUAAUAAUAACACAAAAACAGACCCAAAACCCCUCAUUUCACCAGUCCAAAAUAGCAAGAAAACGCUAAAACUCUGUAAAUCUCACACUUUAUCAUUAAACCCUUCAAUCUCUGUUGUUCUAUCUCUUUAAAAGAAGUUUUUACUCAACUCCUUGCAUUCACUUAGGCUUUAAUCAAAUUUCUAAGGAACUAUUCCAUCUUAACUUUCAAUUUUGGGCAAGGUAACAAUUAACUACAACUCAUUAACUAAAUUUAGCUUAUUUUAGUAUCCACAAACUCGUUUUUUAAUAUCUAGAAAUGUUAAGGGUCUACAUAAAAAUAUCUUAGUGUUAAUUUCGUCAAUUGGUUGUGGUUUGAGUUGUAGGGUUUGGAUAUUUGUUUUAUUUAGCUAGGUUUUAGCUAAUUUUUGGAAUUUGAGAUUGAAUUAACUAAUUUUAGGCUUGUUCCUACAUUAAUUUGAUUUUGAAUUACCUAAAUUUUGGUUAGUCUUGAAACUUAUUUCUCCAUUUUACUCAUUAAUUGUCGAAUUUUUAUGGGGAGAAAUCUUAUUCCUAUUCCUUUACUAUAUUGUUGUAAUAAUUUAAGUGAAAGAUUAUUCUUUGUAAUAAUUUUACUAUUUGACAGAUUCCAAAAUCGGUAUAAGGAUUGCUUUGCUAUUUUUUUCGGUGACCGCUUGUCUCUUUCACUUUAAUUUAG